UUUGGCUGAAGAAGUUCAAUUAAAUUUAGCUCAUACUGAUUGAUUAUGCACAGUUACAUCUUGUGCUCAAACUUGCUCUAUGUUUUCGGAACUUUGCUUCUCUUUUCGAGGUUCCUUACGAUGCAGUUAUGGUUUUAUUGUGUAUGAUACAGGCGUCAUGGAGAGGCUGUCCAAAGGAACAAGAAAAGAAGAAAAACGAGCGAGAGGAGAUAGCGGCGAUCACAAAUCGAUUGGGAUGAUUUUUGUAAAGCUAGCGAUCUAGUGCAAGCAUCACCGGAUGUCGUUGAGCAAGAUGAUAUAGAGGCUUGGAGCUGCUGCUCUUGUGAAUUUUGCUCUACCUGUUGUAGUCUACCUUUCCAACUUUUCUUCAUCUGGAGUAACAAGAUGCAAAGAACUCGACUGGCAGAUAUAUAGAUGCCCCUUAUGUAGGUCAAAGUUUUAUUUUCUGCUGAAUGGAUGUAACCAGGCUCACUGAUGAAAGGAAUUAUAAUUGUCAUCCUGCAUCAUGUGCAAGUCUGCUUAUUUGCACCUUAAUUGUUGGCUGUUCUGUGUGUCCAUUGCUCACUUUAAUUUUUGCAUUUGUUCCUGGGAGUUCAGAGCUUGCCAGAUAAACUGAUGAUUAUACCCAUGAUCUGGCUUUGGGACGACUUUGUUCGAAGUAUAACUGUUUUGGCUGACAAUUCUAUACUUGUAAAGGUACCAAGCCCUCUAGUGAAAGAAAUCAUUAUUGUUAACCUGCAUCAUGUGCAAUCCGUCUUUCUUGCACCAAGUCCACUUUAGUUUUGGGCUGUCAUUGAUGUGCAUUGCUCAUUUACUUAUCAGUCACUCAUUUCUGGAGCUCAUGCCUUGCAACAUGUUUUGGCUGUAAGGAGAACUUGCCUCAGGAAUCAGGAUGUCCCAAAGCACAACAGUUGUGGCUGGCGAUGUGUAUGUACAUUUACCAAGUGUAAUUUACUAUUCAUGGCAUGAUGAAUUAUCUAUCAGACAGGGCAAUCAAGCCCAUCAAUUGGGCAGAAUGAGAGUUUAAAUAAAAGGCAAUUAAUGAAACACCUAGGUGGAUUAGCUGCUGGAUUAAUGAAUCAUGAGUUCGAUUUCCCAUCAUCAAACCAAACCACGGUAGCAAAACAAGGAUUGCACUUCCUAUCUUGUGCUUCAGCGCACGUCUAAUGCACAAGUUAGAAAGAGAUUGCACUUCCUUGUCAUCAGACCAAACCACGAUACCAAAACAAAGGAUCGAUCCUCCCAUUCUUGCCAAAUUUAGUGUCACAGAUUCAGUUGCCAGUCCACUCCCUCACAGACCACGACUAUUCAAGUGUCAUUCUUUCUCCACCUUUUUGGGCAAAUCAAAAGAAGUGUUUAAAAAAUUAAAUCUAUGUGUGCACGUCACAGCGAAGAAGCCGUUGUAGGAGGAAUCAUGCCCAGCGCCUUGAGGAUGAAUGCGUAGGUGAAGGCGUCUUCUGGCAACUUCUCAAACCUGCAAGUUAAAACAACAACAGUUAGGCCGAAAAGCACAAUUUUAUUUGUUCCUUUUUGGCACUAAUAACAGCAUGCCACGUCAAAAAAGAAGAAAUCAAACGCAAAGGAGUAAUGUCUCCUUUGCUUUUUAUUUACCUCCCCGACUUGGAGAAGUGCCCGGCGCCGAGCUCGCACUUGAACAGCAGGAGGUUGUCGUCUGUCUUUAGCUCCCUCAGCUUCGCCACGAACUUAGCAGGCUCCGAGUACAUCACGCGAGGAUCUGUUUGUCACGGAGUAGUUAGUUGUGUUUGACACGAAAAAUAAUAACAAACAACGAUGGUUAUCGUGUUAUUAUCUCUCUACCCGCCAGAGGAAAAAAAUUUGCGGGCGUGCCAGUGUACUGUAGUACACAAAAAAAAGGAUGCGGGAAAUGAGUAUUUCAUUAAUCUCGUUGGAGAAACAAAAGUACAAGAUCCCGUAAAAAAAAGUGCGCUCCGUGGCCUACUAGCGCGGCCAGCCUGACUAUGGCGAUUACGGUCUCCUGGUUCCCGGCGCCGAGCUCGCACUUGAACAGCAGGAGGUUGUCGUCUGUCUUCAGCUCCCUCAGCUUCGCCACGAACUUAGCAGGCUCCGAGUACAUCACGCGAGGAUCUGUUUGUCACGGAGUAGUUAGCUGUGAGGAUAAUCUGAUGUUAACAGCUAACAGUAGCCAACAGAAACUCAGUAUCCAAGGGCCAUACCAUUUAAGCCAGCAGUGACAAGAAUGUGGGGAUAGUCUUGUGCUUUUACCUGCAGCAGAUGGACAGGCAUCUCAGGUAAAUACAUUUCUGCAGCCAGCCUCGAUAGCAUGCGGGGCAAGAAAACACUUAUAUCACAGAAUAAAUAAAGAGUACGGGCGUUCGUAACUACUCCCCCUUAUCUUCUUUAUUUCUCACUUUCUCAGUUUAUUUUUAUUUGACACGAGAAAAAUCUUAAAGGGCACUCCGUGAGAAGGGAAGAGGAGAUGUUUGAUUUCUCUCAUGCGCCGGGGAAAAAGAAAAAUGCGGGCGUGCCAGUGUACUACACAAAAUAAAGUGAUACCGAAAACAAGUAUUUCAUUUAGAGAAAAGUAUACUUUUCGCCCUUCAACUCUUGGUGAAGUCUAGAUUUGGUCCCUCAACUCCGAAACCGGACAACUUGCACCCCCAACUAACGAAACCGGACAAGGUUUGUCCCUGGUCUCGAUUUUGACCGGUUUUGGUGCUGACUGACCCCGGUUUUGACUGGUGCCGACUAAAAUUCACGUAAUUUUUUCAUAUCCGUGAACUUUUUAAAAUUCACAUUCUCUUUUCAAAUCCACAUAGUUUUUCAAGGUCGUGCAAUUUUUUCAAAAACAAACAUACCUUUUUCAAAUCUGUGAACUAUUUUGAAAUUUGUGUACUUUUCCAAAUCCAUGUUUUUUUUAAUUUGCGUAAUUUUCUCAAAUCAGUGUAUUUUUUCAACUUCGUGUAAUUUUAUCGAAUCCAAGUAUUUUUUUUCAAAUCCAUCUGUUUUUAAAAUUCGCGUACUUGUUUCAAAUCCGCAUACUUUUUAAAGUUCGUGUAUUUUUUCAAAUCCGUGUUCCUUUCCAAUCCAUGAACUUUGUUUGAAAUUCACAUACUUGUUUCAAGUUGACAUAAAUUUUCAAAUCCACACAUUUUUUUCUAAUUCGCGAAGAUAUUCAAAUCCGCAUACGUUUUCAAUUUCACAUAAAAUUUUCAAACCCAAAAAAAUAUACGUGAAUAGGAAUAAGUAUGUCAAUUUUUAAAAAUUACAUGAAUUUAAAAAAAACCACAGGAACUUUAAAGAAGUACGUGGAUUUAAAAAAAAGUACGUGAACUUGGAAAAAGUACGCAAAUUUGGAAAAGUACACAAAUUUUUAAAAAGUUCACGUAUUUGAAAAAAAUACCCGAAUUUGAAAACAUUAAACGGACUUGGAAAAGGUAUGUGAAUUUGAGUCGGCAUGGUCAAAACCGGGUUGGACAGCACCAAAACCGGUCAAAACCGUGACCAGGGAUGAAUCUUGGCCGGUUUCAGUAGUUAAGGGCGCAAGUUGUCCGGUUUUGAAGUUGAGGGACCAAAUCUAGACUUCGCCAAGAAUUAAGGGAUGAAAAGUAUACUUUUCUCUUUCAUUUAUCUCUUUGGAUGAACAAAAUUACAAAAUCCCAUAAAAAGAUGGUUGUGCUCCGUGGCCUACUAGCGCGGCCUGCCUGACUAUGGCGAUGUGCGGUCUCCUGAUUCCCGGGGCCUCGAAAAGCUCCCGGUUAAUUACUCCCGCGGGUUGCUCCGUGAGAUACCUUCGAUUAAGCCGUGUGGUCGUCUUUGCUUCGCGUUCUCCAUGCAUGAUGAUGAUGGUGUGAGUGUAUGGUGUGGGCGGCGGCAAAGCCCGUGUCCUCGUUGGUACACGUGUCGCUCAAAACAUGGCUUUGUGUUGGCCACGUUCGCCCUUGCCGUCGCGCCUCGUCGGUCUUGACAGCGUUGAUGUAGUCGGUGUUGAAGUUGCAUGGGUCCUGCUCUGCUCGGACUUCUUGACGAUGUAGCGGCUUCAUUGGGUAUGCAAGGGGUUGCCUCACGGGAGUGUUCUUAUGGAGACCGGCGUCGGUGUAAAACCAACGCUCGCUCAUAUCUGCAAUGCCGGUGUGGUUGGCACCUCGUCUCGGUUGGACGCCGAGUUUACGGCGGUCCGCCAAGGAAAAGGAUGCCACCUCACAUGGCCAUAGAAAGGGGACCUGUAUACCGGCGACGCCAUGGACCUGUACGCCGGAAGCUGUUCACCAAUGACCUGUGCUCCGUGAUAGGUGUGUCUCACUUGAUUGAAUGCCAAGUCUAUGGCAGUCCGUUUUGUCAAAGACGCCACCCUGCGAACUCGUGAAGAGAUGUUGUAGAGGUUUCAUUGCCUUGGGUGGGUGCUACACCGAAAGGGGACCCAUACGCCGGGGGCGCCAUGGACCUGUACAUCGAGUCCUAUACGUAGAGGAGCUGUCCGCCACUGUGGGUGCCUCGUCUCGGCUAAACGCCGUAUUCGGUGGUUUACCGAGACAAGUAGCACGCCGAGACCUGUACGCCAAGGACCUAUUCGCGAUAGUGGGUGCACUUUCAUAGGUGGGACCGGUCUCGGGCUGCAUCGUUGUGAGCACUGGUUCCGCCACAUCGUCCCCUCCAAGAAGCAAGGCGCGAGACCUGUUCGGGGCGCCAUGGACCUGUCCACCGUGAUCGUAACGCCAUGGACCUGUGCACCGGAGAGACCUAUUCGUCAUGGACUUGUCUCGGGCUACGUCGUCGCGAGCUCCGGCUCCGCCAUGUCGUCUCCUCUGGGAAGCAAGGCGCGAGACCUGUUCGGGGCACCAUGGACCUGUGCACCAGUGACCUGUUCACCGAGGACCGGUGCAUCGGAGUCUGUACACCGUGAUUGGAACAUCAUGGACCUGUUCAUCGAGACCUGUUCGCCAUGAUCUGUGCGUCGCGACAUGUUCGUCGGGGCCAGAUAGGCCGCCGUAGGAGCACCAGGGCUAGCGGUUGGGCUGCUUCGUUGGCGAGCUCCGGCUGCUCCUGGGUCAUCUUCAACCAAGAACACGACGCUUGAAGACGAAGAGCUUGACAUAGACAAAGUCUGACGGUGUCGGUGUAGACUCCUGGUCCGGUGAAAUUGCCUUCGACGACGACGGAGGGAUCGGGUACGUACUCUCCGUGUAUAGUGCAUGCAUGCUGGAUGUGAGGGAGAAACAGAAGAAAGAAAAAUUAGACAAUCAUCUCACCGUAGGGGAACGUGAGCUUCAUGUUCAUGUUGCUGCCGCCAGGGUUCCUUGCACUUGUACCAGCCGGCCUGAUGGAUGCAUGAGGUGAUGUUGCGGCCGCGUGGGUUCAUCCGUGUUUUCCUUCUCGCAUGCUCCGCCUCGUUACAACCACCACUGGACAGAGCCAAGCAGCAUGCUUGAUGCCCGGUGAGCGCGCCACUGCCAUGGGCGCGUCGUCUGUGAUCGAAACGUUGUAUGUGGGCGCAUGGGUACAUGGCGACCUCGACUUCAACCCAGCCGGUGCAUGCUCUCUAUCGCUGCUACCUCCUCGGGUUGAGAUGUGUUUGUGGCUCCUGCAUACAAAAAAGAGAUAUAGAUGUACGUAUCUAGCCUCCGCGGAUCCUUCUUGGCGCAUGCACUGCCGCCACCGGACAGCGCUAGGCCGUGUGCAUGUUGCCCGACGAGCGUGCCGCCGCCAUGGGCGUGGCUUUCCUCAUGUUCUCGAUGUUGCCGCCACGGCGCGUCUUCUGCUUCCUCCUGUGCCUCCUCCUUGUGUGCGUCUUGUCAUCUCCACGGCAUGCUCAUCGCCGCAAGACAGGGCCUACGCGGCCAUCGCAGGCGCGUCCUCCUUCAUGCUUGAGUUCCAAUUUGGCGACGCCGCCACGCGCGUGUCUCCUCCUCCUCCUCCUCCUCCUCCUCCUCCAUGGAACCCGGUAAGAAAAAUACUAUACGUACCAAGAGGGUUGUUGCAAGUGCAUGCAUCCGAGCUCACCUCCAUGUCAUAGUGCACCUGCUGUCAGCGGCGUCCUCUACGCAUCCUCUAGCAUGCCGUGGCCGGUGGCCUACCGGCCACCACGCCGCUGUGAGCACGUCCUCCUUUGCACUUGGGUUUGACGCCGCCAACAAGCACGUCCCUGCCCGGUGCGUGCGUGAGUUUCUGGCCAGGGACGUGUGCGUAGCUUUGCUGCUGCUUGAUGGAUGGAUGUGCGGCACCUGAUAGAUGAAAUACACAAUAAAAAAUAAAGUUAGUCAAUGGGGCUUGAUCAGCUCCCGUUUCAUCAUCUCCUCGGGCGUCUGCAUCCUCGCCGUGGGCAGGCCGCCGUUGUGGCCGGUGUUUCUGGGCUCAUCACAUCUGGUGCCUACGAACGUGUGGUCACGGCCGCGCCAUCGUCUCCUCGGCUGCGUUUGUUGUUGCACCAGCUAUGCUAGCUAGCUCCUCCUCGCUUCUGGUGUCUUGGUUGGCUAGCUUAUAUAGGCUGCGGUGUUGGACGGGUAGGGUUGCACCGUCCUAAUAUUUCCUUCUAUUGUUUGUCUUGACGUCCAAGUCUGUACAUAUAAAAGGAAAUGAUCAACCCCAUAUAUACCAUGUUAGUUGGCGCGUACCUUUUUUAUGUGGUUCUGUGGUCGGUUGUAUCCGUUUCCAAUUUUUGAUGGAUUGCCAAAUAUACGUAUAUAGGCUGCUCACGUGAGCCUAUCAUCUGAUUCCAGUCACGUACAUGUACCUGUCCAAAUAUCAAAAGAAGGAAACGAAGUACAUGUAUAUCGGGUAUUCGGAGAAGUAUGCGUGCAUGCUCACCGGCCGUAGAUACUCAAAUACAUACCUAUAUGAUGUAUGCAUACAAACGGGUAUUUGGAUAUGUAACGCGAGGUUGCCGGUAUUCAAAUACAUAACUAUUUAUAUGUGUCUAAGCUAAGCUACGUAGGACGUGUGUGUGCAUGCACAUGUAGUAGUUGCACCAUGAUUUCAUGCAUGUGCCUGUUUAAGUACGUGCGGGCAUGUGCCAUGCAAUAGCAUUUUGCCUUUGUAUUAUUAACCACUUACCUUUGCACAGAUAACCUGCAUUAAAACUCAUUGAAAAUAAAAUUAUUAUUUUAUGCAGCAAUGCACAAAAUACCGUCGAACAAUUUUCAACAUUGUCCACUUAGAAACAACCUAAAUUUUAUAGGCAUAUAAAGCCUUUGUCGAGCUUAGGAAUCUCAAGGUGCGGGAGUACUUGCGACGAGUAAAGGCAAACGAGGAUUAUGUUAGAAUAAAUUUGAGGUGUUUCGUCGAUCUACCAUGGACCAAGCAAUCACACGAGCGCAACACCGAGAUUUGUUAACGAGAUUCACCGAUAUGGCUACAUCCCUGGGGCCUGACUUUGGGCGCUCCUCCCCGUGACACCGUCACAAUACCGCACACCGACCACCCGGGCGACAGCACAAGCCGCCGGCUCCCCCCGCGUACUUGUGCUAUUAUGUUGGCAUAGGUUACAAGUGUGUCUACCCCUACUAUAUAUGAGAAGUCUAGGAUACAGUGUCCUAUUAGGACACCACUUCUACGCUGUCAACACACAGUCCAAAAUCAAGUUCAACUGUAACCUACUUUAUACAAUAAUAUUCGACACAAUUCUAACAGAUUACAACCGUCAGAUGAUGGCGGUUAGUUUUGCCCUCUUAGAACCAAGCUAAAAUUUGCACUUUCAUUUCUUCUGACCUUCUAGUUUGCUUGGUUAACUAAUAUUCAGGCUACUUUGGCGUCUUGGACUAACCUCACGGAUCCACCACGAAUGGGACCCGCACCACCACCUGCUUGAGAACCCCCACACGUGCCCACGUUCGAUGAAUGGGUGGCACUAGGCAGUCAGACUCCGGUUAGUACAUUUGCCUAACUAUUGACAAACUAGCUUUCGUUCAUUCAACACUAUCAUAUCAUAUUUACCCUUACAAUCUCUUUUCAAACAUGUAGGGGACCGGUGGCUCGACUCCUGCUUCAGAGAGCCCAGUCACUCCGAUCUGGGGAAGUAGUGCUGGUCUUGGCGUUGCUCACGGUGAUGGUCCUAGUCUUGACAGAUGAUGUGUGCCAUGUCUUGAAAUACUUUCCAUGUUCCGUACUUCUUACCGUUCUUUAGAUGACGAUGAUGAUGUUCCAUGUCUUGCAAUACUUAUAUGUUUAUGAAGUUUCGAUGAUGAUGAUGUUGAUUCUCUUUAGAUGAUGAUGAUGAUCUUGAGUAUCUUUAGAUGAUGAUCUAGAGUAUCUUUAGAUGAUGAUCUGUCUUAUUUCUAUCUAUAUAUGGUCUUUGUCAUAUUUUAUGAAUUUAAAUGCUGUCAAAUUGAAUAAAAAAAAUGAGAAAACGGAGCAAAUAAAAAAACAGAACAGAUCUAUGCCGAUGGCGUGGCCGUCGGUAUAGCCAUGUCCACGAGAAACCAGGAAGCGACACGUGGCAUGGGUAUGCCGACGGCCUGGCCGUCGGCAUACUCUGCUGCCAGGAGCGCCCAGUGACUGCCACGUGGCACAUAUAAGUCGACGGCCUGGCCGUCGGCUUAUAUGUGCCACGUGGCCGUCGCUGGUUGGUUAGUGGGGAUGACGGCACCGUCUGUUGCCGUCUGGUAAUUUUCUCUACCGACGGUGUAACUAUGCCGAUGGCCGUACGAAAGCUGUCGGCAUAGAUGCCUAUGCCGACGGCUUUUCUAUGCCGACGGUCUGACAGGACGACGCUGACGAUACCUACGCCGACGGGUGUAUGCCGACGGUGACCGUCGGCAUAGAGCUAUACCGGCAUAGAGGGUUAGUCCGGUAGUGAAACAAGAUCUUAUAUAAUGGCUUGACAGGUCUUUGUAACUGCGAGCUAGUAUGUCUUGCCCCAUCUGUGUAUCCUUGGUUGAUGGCCAACCAAAAAGUACAUAUGACCAUGUUUGUGUANNNNNNNNNNNNNNNNNNNNNNNNNNNNNNNNNNNNNNNNNNNNNNNNNNNNNNNNNNNNNNNNNNNNNNNNNNNNNNNNNNNNNNNNNNNNNNNNNNNNNNNNNNNNNNNNNNNNNNNNNNNNNNNNNNNNNNNNNNNNNNNNNNNNNNNNNNNNNNNNNNNNNNNNNNNNNNNNNNNNNNNNNNNNNNNNNNNNNNNNNNNNNNNNNNNNNNNNNNNNNNNNNNNNNNNNNNNNNNNNNNNNNNNNNNNNNNNNNNNNNNNNNNNNNNNNNNNNNNNNNNNNNNNNNNNNNNNNNNNNNNNNNNNCAAUCCAUCACAUUUCUUUGCAAGCUUUCUACCAAGUUUUUCAAACUCAUCCACAUCAUCUAUAACAGACCUUUUAUAUGAUGGUAGAGCUUUGCUACUAAAAAGUUCCCAACUCCUCUCUUCAUCUAACUUUUUCAAAGGAUGGACAUGGCUUGGCACCUGAACAUGAUUUGCAACAUCUUCUUUCCGUGUAGUUAACAAUACUCUACUGUCGUUAGUUGCAUCUGGAAAGGCAUUAACUCUUGUGUUCAACUGCUCCCAUGUGUCUGUUUCCCACACAUCAUCAAGAACUACUAGGUAUCUUUUUUGCAGGAGAAAAUCAUCCAUUUCAUCAAUUUCUCUAGAACAAUCUGUGCCCUCUAUUAUUUGUUUCAUAAUGUCCCUUAGUAAGUUAACGCCCUUGAACGGUUGAGAUACGGUCACCCAAGCCACUAUUGGGAAUGUAGCAUGCAAUUUAAAAAAAUCCUACAACCACGCAAGAUCUAUCUAGGAGAUACAUAGCAACGAGCGGUGGAGAGUGGGUCUACGUAUCCUCGUAGACCGAAAGCGGAAGCGUUUGACAACGCGGUUGAUGUAGUUGAACUUCUUCUCGUUCCGACCGAUCAAGUACCGAACGUACAUCACCUCCGAGUUAUGCACACGUUCAGCUCAAUGACGUCCCUCGAACUCUUGAUACAGCAAAGUGUCGAGGAAGUAGAUGAGUUCCGUCAGCACGACGGUGUGGUGACGGUGAUGGUGCAGUGUUCCGCGCAGGGCUUCGCAUAAGCACUACGAGAAUAUGAGCGGGGGUGUAAACUGUGGAGGGAGGCAUCGCACACGUCUAGGAAUCAAUGUUGUGUGUUCUAGCGGUGCCCCUCCCACAUAUAUAUAGGUGGGAGAGGGAGGGGAGCAGCAAGGGGCGCCCCAAGUAGGAGGAAUCCUACUUGGGCGCCUCCCCCAAUUCGGCCUGCCCCCUUCCAUAAGUACCGAAGGGGGAAGGAAGGAGGAGGGAGGAGGGAAGGAAGGGGGAGGUCGAAUCCCUCCCCAUCCUUCUCUCUUCCCCUCUUUCCUUUCCCUUAGGUGCAUCCCAUAUAGGGGGCACAACAGCCCCUGCUGGCUGCUGCGUUUCCCCUCUUGGCCCAUUAGGCCCAUAUCUUUGCCACGGGUGUCCGGAACCACUUCCUGUGACCCGAUAUGUAUCCGAUACCCCAUAACACUUUCGGUGUCCGAAUACUAUCGUCCUAUAUAUCAAUCUUUACCUCUCGACCAUUUCGAGACUCCUCAUUAUGUCUGUGAUCUCAUACGGGACUCCAAACAAUAUUUGAUCACCAAAUCACAUAACUCCUAUAACACAAAAUCAUCAUUGAACAUUAAGCGUGCGGACCCUACGGAUUCGAGAACUAUGUAGACAUGACCGAGACACUUCUCCGGUCAAUAACCAAUACCGGAACUUGGAUGCUCAUAUUGGCUCCUACAUAUUCUACGAAGAUCCUUAUCGGUCGAACCGUUAUGACAACAUACGUUAUCCCCUUUGUCAUCAGUAUGUUACUUGCCCGAGAUUCGAUCAUCGAUAUCUUCAUACCUAGUUCAAUCUCGUUCCCGGGAAGUCUCUUUAUUCGUUACGUAAUGCAUCAUCCCGCAACUAACUCAUUAGUCACUUUGCUUGCAACGCUUCUUAUGAUGUGCAUUACCGAGAGGGCCCAGAGAUACCUCUCCGAUACUCGGAGUGACAAAUCCUAAUCUCGAUCUAUGCCAACCCAACAGACACCUUCGGAGAUACCUGUAGAGCAUCUUUAUAAUCACCCAGUUACGUUGUGACGUUUGAUAGCACACAAGGCAUUCCUCUGAUAUCCGGGAGUUGCAUAAUCUCAUAGUCGAAGGAAUAUGUAAUUGACAUAAAAAAACAAUAACAAUAGAACGAAACGAUCAAUAUGCUAAGCUAACGGAUGGGUCUUUCCCAUCACAUCAUUCUUCUAAUGAUGUGAUCCCGUUAUCAAAUGACAACUCAUGUCCAUGGCUAAGAAACCUUAACCAUCUUUGAUCAACGAGCUAGUCCAGUAGAGGCUCACUAGGGACACAAUGUUUGUCUAUGUAUUCACACAUGUAUUUAGAUUUCUAGUUAAUACAAUUCUAGCAUGAAUAAUAAAAAUUUAUCAUGAACAAGGAAAUAUAAAAUAACAACUUAAUUAUUGCCUUUAGGGCAUAUUUUCUUCAGCCACUAUGUUGAAGUGCUCUUUGACUCUGGAUGAAGUGUAUACUUUUCUUGCAAGUGUUGUUUUCCCCGCUCCAACCAUGGCAGCUAUCGACACAGCAAUAAGCAUGCUCUCAUUGUCAACUAAUUUUCCGACUAUUUCAUUGUGCUCAUCCUGAAAACCAACCAUGAAAGUAUCAUAUUCCGAGUUCUGGUGGAUAACGCUGAAAUCCCAUGGAAGCUCAUCCUCCACUACAAUGGUCUCACCCAAAUCAAUUUUCAAAUUCUCUGCACUUGCAAAAAUCUCGGCGAGCUUUCUUCUGACACACUGAAUUUCCACACCAAUCUUACGAAGGGUGCCAAGUCACUUGGCAGGUGAGCAUACCUUGAAAUAGCACCCAUGAAUCCCUUCUUGAGUCUGUUUAUUGUUAGAGAUACCACAAGCAAAUCAAGUCAACGAAGAACGGAGAAGAAGCAGGGGACACGAGAUUUUAACGUGGAAAACCCCUCCAACACGAAGGGAGAAAAACCACGGGCGCCAGCCAGCCAAACUUCACUAUAUCAGGGGAGGUUGGAUUUACAACUGAUUAACUUAUCCCGUGCGGCGGCUUACGAGAGGUAUAUAUAACACAUGUGCCUAGGUCAAUACUGAUCCGCUUCGGCCAAGCCUACCGGCGACAGGCCUCACUCCGCUCGCUCAUCAGAAGUUAGCCUCCCUCUUUAUACUUGAAUUUGGACAAUGUUUCAAAUAGCGGGCUAUGAAAAAUAGCGGCGAGCCUCCAAAUAAGCUAUAGCGGGCUAAAGCGGGUUAUAGCAGGCUAUUUAUGAAGAUGAUCAUUUAGCGGCACCGUACUGAAAAGGCUAUAGCGGGUUAUAGCGGAGCUAUAGCCGACUAUUUAAAACUAUAAUUUGAAGCAUAACAUAACAAUUCUUUUCUCCAUGUAGUCUGCAGCUUUGAUGGCAUUCUGAGCCUCACAGGCGGCAUCUCUGAUGGCUCACCAGGACGGCAACUCUUGCAUUUCCUGACCGCCAUUUUCUAUCCACAUCUUUGAAGUAGGCCUGCAACCUCAUGAGCUCAUCUUUCAACAACCCCAUUUCAAGGAUGAGUGCACACAGGAAUGUGGUCUCCUGGACAAGGUUGCCCUGCCCACGCUACCAAGCACGGUGCUAACAGCGGACACGGUCAUUCUCUGCUAGCUCCUCCUCGCCUAACCUUCUUCACAGAUGGAAAAUAUACUUGGUCAAAGAUGACAAGAAUUAACAAGAAUGAAUAUUGCUUUAUUUCUUUUAUAGUGACGAGUAAUCACUACACUUGAGCUUGCGACCUCGCUACCACUAGCUAGAUAGCAUGGCAGACAUGCAAGAGGUGAGCAUGCAUGAGUUUGCGCUGAGGAAUUGAGGAGCGGAAGGGAGAGAAAUGGGGACUCACCAGCGGGCGGCAGGAGGGUCUUCUCCGAUAUGAAAAAACGCCUCCCGGGUCGCUCCUAGGGCGACUCUGGAGGCCACCCCUGCCGCCUGCCCUAGGGUACCUUAAAUCGCUGCCCUCCCCGUGCCGCCGCCGGAGGAGGCCGUCGGAGCUAACGGCGGCGGCGGGGCUCUUCCCGUCCAACUUUCUCCUUCCCUUUCCGGGGUUGGCUGGCCUCCUCCUGCCGUCAGAACGGGACAUUUGCGCCUGGAUCUCGUGCCCUGUGGGUGCUGCAGCGUCAAGGCAUGACCAUCCAUGUGCGCCACCGGUCGUGUCCUCCGAUGAUCCGUACUAGUGGUGGUGUGGUGCGGCGCCUGGAACUGUAUCGGCCAAGAUCUGAAGGCGGGCGUCGCGGAUGGGCUGGAUCCGGCGGGAUCUUUUUUUUCGAUAAAGGCCUUUUCAUUGACUAGAUAUAUCGAAAUAAUACAAUCGUAUCGAAAGAAAACCUGGCAUCUGCAUAGCUAGAUGCACACAGUCAAAAAGUCCAGAGCACCCUAAAAAUAAAAUAAUUCGAUACAAUGCCAAGCAAUAAAUCGUGUCCAGCCUAAGGAGCGGUAGAUCCUAUCCGUAAAUCAUACCGCUAUCCAUGGGGGUAGAAAACCUCCUUGGUUGUACACUCCAGCCGUGUAGACGCCAUCAUAAAAAGGUCCCUGCCUCCGGCUUCUGCAGGAUAGACUAAGUACGGAGCCAUCGUGUACAAAUAUGAAUAACCUGCAUAAGAGAUGAGACACAUUUAUUGUUAAAAACCACAUCAUUCCUGGUAAGCCACAUUGCCCAGCAUAAGGCCGCCGCUCCCACAAGAAUAUGUGCAUAAAAUUUGUUUAUCAAUACCCCGCAACCAGUUGCCAAACAUAUUCCGUGCACUACGUGGUGGGUAUAAAUUCGAAGCUACUUGGACCAUAGCCCAAACUGCCCGAGCGAACUUGCACUCAAAAAAUAAGUGUUUGAUAGACUCGUCAUGUUGGCAAAAGACACAUGUCUUAGAACCAUGUCAGUUUUGUCGUGCCAGAUUAUCUUUAGUUAGGAUGACUCCUUUGUUAAGAAACCAGAGGAAAAUCUUCACUCUUAGGGGAAUUUUUAGCUUCCACAAUUUCCUGUUAUCUACUGGAAUAUCACAAUGAACCAUUGCAUAUACGUGGAUUUGACUGAAAAUUUGCCAUUUUGAUGCAAGUUCCAUCGAAAAGUGUCCGACUCAUCUGACAGUUGAAUGUCCUCCAGGCGAGUGAGUAAUUCAUUCCAUGCUUCCAGACAAGUGCCCAAAAGAUCCCUACGGAAAGAAAUAUCGGGGUUUUCCUGUCCUAAGACUUGUUUGAUCGUGACAAAUUUAUGUCUGACGAUCCGGUACAAGCUCGGGUAUUGCACCACUAGUGUAGUGUUCCCUAGCCAGGCAUCUUCCCAGAAACGAACCUGAGCACCGUCCCUAACCAAGAAGGUCCCAAAUUGGAAGAAGAAUUCCUUGGCCUUCAUGACACCACUCAAAAAAUGUGAAUCCCCAUGUUUCCAAUGAAUUUGAGAAAUGACAUUGGAUCCCACAUACUUGUUGCGGAUGAUUUCCUGCCAUACUCCAUUCUCAGUGAGUAGUUUAUAAACCCACUUGCUGAGAAGAGCGAUGUUUUUAAUCUCAAGGUCUUGGAUUCCCAGGCCCCCUUAACUUUUAGGUCUGCAUAAUACGCUCCACCUAGCCAGUCUAUAUUUCUUGGUUUCGUUAUCACACCGACAAAAAAAUCUGGAUCUUAAGUAGUCUAGACGCUGUACAACCCCUUUCAGCAGGUGGAAGAAUGACAAGAUAUAUAAAACCAUGUUGCUUAGGACAUAAUUGAUCAAGAUCAAUAGCCCCCCAUAAGACAAGAGUUUGGCCUUCCAACUGGCUAAUCGUCUCUCAAGUCUCUCUUCCACAUGCUUUCACUCAGCGGUAGUUAAACGCGAUAGUGUAUGGGGAUACCCAGAUACCUAAUCGGAAGCUGCCCAAGCUGGCAUCCAAAAAUGUCGGCAUACUCGGGUGCUGAUUCUGCAACAUCUCCAAAGCAAAAAAGUUCACUCUUAUGAAAAUUAAUUUUGAGACCAGAAAGUUCCUCAAAGGCACAUAAGAGCAGCUUGAGAUUUAUUGCCUUAUCUAAAUCAUGAUCCAUAAGUAGAAUUGUGUCAUCCGCAUAUUGUAGAAUGGAUAGACCAUCUUCUACCAAGUGUGGAAUGACUCCACUAAUUUGACCAUCCAGCUUAGCCCGCUCUGCGCUCCACAAGGGUAGCUAGCAUGUCGGCCACAAUAUUAAAGAGAAUAGGAGAUGCGGGGCCGCCUUGACGAAGCCCCUUCCUUGUCUGAAAAUAGUUGCCAACGUCAUCAUUAACUUUUAUGGCCACACUACCACCAGAGACAAAGCUCUCUACCCAGCGGGAUCUAGCCUCUCCGAAGGUGCUUGAGGCGGCGGAUGGCUGAAACUCAAUUUUGCUUCACCAUGCGGCUUUCGGGAGACGUGCCACCUUUGUGGGCGUUUGGACAGAGAUUCGUGCCGUGUCUUGGUUGGGUGCUGAUCAAGCGGAUAUCGGCUGGCUUGAUCCGGUGAUGGUCGGCUCUCUCGCGGCGUCCCUGUCUGGCUGACGUGACCGAGGCCUCUUUAUGGUGGUCAUUCGUCGGCUUGGUAUAUGCGGUGGUGCAUUCAUUGGAGCAGGAAGUGGUGGAUGCUUGGUGGUCGUGCACGUCACUUGGCCAUUGGGCUUCACGUGCCAGGCUACCCAGUGCCUCCCAUCCUCAUGACGGACAACUAAGAUAUUAAUCGUUCUCCGGUGAUGGUUGGGGUGUGCCCUCACAACGGCAUGGUGCUAGCACAGUCGUUGUUGUUUGUGUUGUCAGAUCUGUCAUCUCAGUAAAUGCCCGAUGUGUGAUGUUCACUUUGAUCCGAAAUUUCAGUGCUCAUCGAGUCACCGCAUCAGGAAUUCUUCUAUGGCAAGUUGGUGGUGACAACACAGGGACUUCGUCUAUGGUGGUGCUCUUUGAAUACCAGGUCCUACGUUCCAGGGUGAAAACCCUAGGUCUAGCCUUCACUGGUUGUACCUGGCAGUGGCGAUUCCACUUCCUUGUUGAAGGCACUGUUUGGAGCUUAGCUGGUCCUUCUCUUCUGGGUGAAAACUCACGAUCUAGCCUAUGUGGUUUGAUCCAGUGAUGAUGGUGUUCAUGCACCAUUUCCUUGUUGAAGGCGUUGCUGUUAGGACAACCUUCUCGUCGUCCGGGUGUUGCCAAUGACAGUGGUAGUAGUUGAUGUUUUGUUGCAGUGGGUCGUUUGCCUCGCUCAUUGACCCUUUGGGUCUUUUUUUCUUCUUUUUGGCUGUGUGCAUCUUAGUUAUGCAGAGACCGAAUAUGUACUCAUUAUGUUUUGCAUCCGCGUGAUGCGACAUUACGAGUCAAUAAAGAAUGCCCUUUAUCGAAAAAAAGGAGGGUCUUCUCCUUGAGCUCGAUCCACGCCGCUCAGAUCUCCUUCGGCAGAAGACUUUUUUUUGAAAGAUCCAGCAUCACUGGCAUUCAUUGAUAAUAGCAGGAAGCAACGGAAAACAACAAGGUGGUGAAGGUCCUAGGACCAGAGGAUCCGAAGAUCAAAAGUAAAAAGAAAAAACAACAGCCUAAAAGCUGCAGCACAACACUCCAUACAACCCAUACUAGACAUCUCAGCUCCGACUCCGACAAUGAACCACUAAGAAAAACUAGGCACGGGUGGCGGCAGAAGACUUUUUUUAUUCUAUAGUUCGACUCAAAUGAAGCUCCCUUGAGUGUAAUGAUAGUAUCAUCCAAGAACAUGAGCUGGCAGUUAACUUCAGCACCACUAGCUAGAAAUGCAUGGAUCUGAGGGGAGAGAGGGCAAGAAGUGAUGAGCAUUUGAGCAGGGGAGAUGAGCAAGAAGGGAUAGAGUUACUAACCGUCACCAGCCGGAGCAGUGGCGGAGGAUGAAUUUUUUCUAAGGUGGGGUGAACUCUAAAGCACAAAAGAAAUUUCGAAAGACAAUAGUAGUGCACACAAAUACUUUUAGUUGAAAAUGCCACUAAAAUUCAAAAAAUUACACGCCUCCCCUUUGCCUUUGCUAGCCCUUCCCCUUCAUAUCCAUGUUUUCCCUUCGCCAACAAAGUUGGCAACGCCACUGCGCCACCCACACACACUCACUGUUUUUAAUCAGCAAUUGUCAAUUUGUCAUCAAUAUUCAGACAAAUUUCUAUCACAAAGCAUAGCACAUACAAAAAUGACUGUAAAGCACUGAGUAAUUACCAUCACAUAUCACACAUUCUCACUGUUUUUAAUUAGAAAAUUUCGUCAAUAUGUUAUGAAUCUCCAGCCACUAGUGUACACACGACUACAAAAAGAGAAAACAGAACAUGGAUGGAAAAAAAGAACACGGAGUCGAUGAGGGGGCUGCAGGCGGGGUGUAGACGCUGACCGCCGCCCUCGCCGCUCCAGCCGGCCGCCAGCCUCGCUGCAUUGGACGGCUGGAACCUUGGAGGACAGAAUCGCUACUCACUGACUCACGACCCAACAAGACAACGAUUUUUUCAGGAACUAUCGAUGAAUCAGAGCGAGUACACAACUACACAUACGUAUACCUAUACGUAAUUUUCUUCCCCGGCAAAUCAAGGUAGGGCGAGCGCCCGUCCUCGCUAGGGCUGGACACGAGCCGAGCCGAGCCGAGUUCAGACCGAGCCUGCCUUUGGCUCGCCUAAAGCGAGCCGAGCUCGGCUUGGCUCGUUCAUUGAACGAGCCUGUUUCUGGUGGCUCGGCUCGUUUUGCCUCUGGCUCGGUCCAGCCCGAGCAGCUCGUGUGGCACACGCCUUUGUAGUAUGUGCUUGCAUUCGUCCGGGCGGCCGAUGCUUGGCUAGCGAGGAAAGGCGGCGGCCGACGUGGCGAUGACAGGGGGCGUGUGCCGUCGGUGCCGAGAGCGCCUUCCAGUGUCGGGCGCGGCGAGGACGACGACGGCAUCCGGCAUGGCGAGGACGGCGACGGCUACACUCUACACAGCCAAGCAGAAGCAUUCGUCCAUCCACCCCUCCAUCGCGUACGUGUACGCAGGCGCAGCCAUGCAGGUAGGACUCCUACAUGCAGGGGAGCAUGUAUGUCGUCUGCCGUCCGUGCGCUCAUGCAGGGGAGCGCGAGAGUGCCAAGCGUGUGUGCGCCCAGCCACUGCUAGGGAUGGAAAGAAAGGAGAGAGUACCUGCUCGUCAGGUUCGGCAAGAAACCAGGGGAGGCGCAUCCGCCGGCGUUCGGUGUGGUGAGGAAAGGCCGCCGCCCCGUAGCCACUGGUCUAGUUUUUGCGGCGCAGCGAGGUGAGGGAUGAGGCAGCGCCGAACAAAGGAAGGGAGGGGCUCGUGCCCUAAUGCCAGAAUGGCUGAUGGGAACUGGGCUGGGCCUCGAGCGAGUCACCGAGUUGGACCGGGCGAAACUUGGCUCGGCUCGGUCGGGAAUCGGGCCUCUUUUCACAACUGGGCUCGCUCGUUUAUUUUAUCGGGCCGAGCUGUAACGGACCGAGCUGGAGCGAGCUUCGGGCCGAGCCGAAAAGCUCGCUCGGACAUCCAGUCCUAGUCCUCGCCCUACCGAGAGCUCCGCCCGUGGGCCGGAGGGUUUUCGACCUGGUUAAGCUCGAUCAAGGCCGCUCAGAUCAUCGUCGAGCGGUGGCCGGAGCAUGCAGAGUAGCUAGCUAGCUGGGUGGGCGAGUGUGUCUGCUGGUGUGAAGACUUGAGUCAAAGCUAUGUUCAGAUCGAGGAGCUUGGCGCGCCUCUACCUGCUGCGGCUGCUGCUGCGUGCCUUCUGCACAUGUUUCUAUUGUAUUCUGCAGCAUCCACACGACAUGCAUCGAGUAGUCAUUGAUUCCCUCUUGCCUGUUUCUAGCGUAAAAUAUUAUAUACUAUCUUGGUACCAGCAGUCCAGCGAUCAUAAGACCUCUUCCAAUGCAAAGGUGCUUAGAUGAGGUGCUAAGUAUAUUAAAUGCCUUAGCAAAUCAAGAUCCCAAUGCAAAGGUAUUAAGAGGGUGCUUGGAUACGUUUUAGUCCCAUGACUAAAAGUAGUGGGACUAAAACUUGCUAGCCUCACCCAUGCUUGGAUCCAAAUACUAAAGAGACUAAAAUCAAGUUAUUGAGCAUUUAUUAUCCUUCAAACCCUCCAAUCCAAAACUCGCAUGUGUUCAAGGAGAGGAAUUAAAUGAGGAGAGAGAGGGCCAAUACAUAUUUUAGUAGGUUUCCUAUGACUAAAUUUUUUUAGCCUCAAGACUAGUCCUAGCCUCUCUUUAGUCAGGGGUGCUUGGGACUUUAGCCUCUAAAAGAGACUAUUUUUAGUCAGACUAAAAAUAGUCCCUUGGAUCCAAGCAUGCUCUAAGCUUUUGAACGCUAAACUUCAUGCAUUUAAUUAGUUGUAGACAGAGAAUUGUGCUUCCACCUAGAUACACGUACUUAGCAUUGUUUUUUUCGGGUCACCAUACUACUCUCUCUCCUCUUAACUAGCAUGCCAUAUUAUUUUUUUGCUUAGUUGGCAACCUUAGCACCCGUACAAGAUGAAACAUUAGAAAGGGCCUAACGUAUGUCUUGAAGAAUACUAUGAUGCUCAAUUCUCGAGAUUUACAAGUGGAUGUUUUUGUAAGUGCAAAUGGGGUUGUAUCUUUCUAUGAGCCGACAAUGGGUCGCCCACGUGAGCUCAACAACCUCGUUGGACUAAUUAAUCUUGCAUUGCGUUUCCGGACCAAGGGUGUGGAACUGUGGAUCGAGAAGAUCGACGUCAACUAGUAACGGCCUUGUCGCGGGAAGGGUGCUAUGCUUCAGUUGAUCAACUUGCAAGCAUACAUACAAUUAAACAACACUAUUGAAUCUGGAUAAUAAAUAAAUACAAAGGUCAUCAUGACAUAGUACGUUUAAAUGUACAAGGCAUUUUUACUAUCGAUAGUUCGAUAUUACAUUCAGUCUUGGAAUUAGCAUCCGAGAAUAUAUAUCUGAUAGUAUGUAGGUUGCUAGAGUCGACGGAUUGACCCAUCCGAGAAAGAUUCUUCUUCCGAUAAUCUUGUGUCGUAUGUAUACCGUGGGUGAAUAACAUCUGAGAAUUACCAUGGGAACUAGGAAACAUGUCCGCCCUUCUCCGUUAUUAACGAGUAAAUUGCACAAAACCAUCACUUUAAAGACUAGGUUUGCAGAAAACAUUACGUUAUAUUUUUUUGGCAAAAAACACCAUAUCUACCGUAAACAUUUUGCAAAUAACACUGAUCGGCGAAUUUAACUCGGUUGAGCACGUUUAUGACAAUUGGGGCCCAUUUUUGCCUGCGUGGCAUAACAUUUCGUGUGAGAUAAAUUUUAAUCCAAAUUUACAAAUUAGUCCUUAGAUUUUUCAUCUGCACCCCUGGAUCAAAAAGUAAAAAAGCAAUGUGCAUCCCAUGCUGCUGGUUGGUGCAGUCAACGCUGGCGGUGCUUGCCUUCUCCUUCGCGCAGGAGGCCACACCCGAGCGGCGGCUCGUCAGGAAGCUCGGGUUCCCUCGUUGCGACCCCUACCUGCCUAUCGUCGAUCGCGCCUGACGGCCAUGAGCUCAUCAAGGAGGCCACCAGAUGGAGGGUCGUCGGAUCUGCAUUGCGCGAGGGCCGCUACGACCAAGGGCUGUCGGAUCUGCACUGCGCGACGCUGGCUGGGGCGGUCAACGUUGGCAGCGCUAGGCAUCUCCUUGGCGUAGGAUGCCAAACCGGUGCGGGGGCGUGGUAUCCCUUGCCGGAUCCGAAUGAGGUGGUGGUGCUCUGGUCGGAUCCGGGUGCGUGGGGUGCUUGGGGCUCAUUGGCCAGAAGUUGAGGAGGUCAAGCGGUGCCGGUCUUCAACCAUGGCGGCGGCGGCGCGACAAACGAGGUCCAUGGAUUGGAGGUCCGGUUAACUUGGGCGGCUGCGGGCGCGUGGCUGACCAGUGGCUGGAUAAAGUCCAAGGACACGGGGGCCUGGGCGGCACAUUGAAGAAUGUUGGGGUGUUUUUGCUUUUUGACCCAUCUAGCACUGUCUUUAGCAAAACGUUAUGCCACGUUAGUGAAAAGAGGGACCCAACUGUCAUAAACGUGUUUAAUUGAGCCAAAUUCGCCGAUCAGUGUCUUUUGCAAAAUGUUUACGGUAGACAUGGUGUUUUUUACAAAAAAAGUAAUCUAGUGUUUUCUGCAAACCUAGCCCUCAAAGUGAUGGUUUUGUGUAAUUUACUCGUUAUUAACAGAGACACUCAUGGACCUGCACAAAAUGACACAUGUACAACAUAAAAUAACUUAACAAAGUGAGCUGACCCUGAAACUAACUAGCAUUAACUGAUUGCUUCCAAACAAUAAUAUUUCCUUAAGCUAUGUACUGGGUGUACCUCUCAUCCUUUCCAGGACAACUCCUUCCACGUGUCGUCAUUUUGUGAAAUCUUUGACAUAUAAAUCAGUCUUAAACCGACGGGGUGUGGAAUAUGCAACAAACCCUCAGGGAGUCUGCUGAUUCUUGUGCACCCAGCAAGUCCCCAGGGUUGAGAGCUUUGGCAGUGUCCCCUCUUCCAUCAUGUAGUCAAGGGAAACACACUUGAGAAGUUCUAAAUCUUGUAGCGAAGGAAAUCCUUAAUCUUGUAGCGAUAUCUCCAGUCAAGGGAAAAAUAGUACCCAUGAAGCCCGUCUUGAGCCGGUUUCUCUUAUCCAUGUGAUCCGCGGUUUCGAUGACAUUCUCCGCCUCAUAUGAUGCUGCCUUAAUCUGGCUGACCAGGAUAUCAACUCUAUCAUUUCCCAGCCUUUGUUUCUUGUUAGCAUCUCUAAGGUAGCCCUGUAGCCGCAUGUGAUCAUCUUUUAAGAGCCCUACUUCAGGGGAGAUUCCAUACAAGAAUUUGGCCUCCUGAACUGCAAGACUGGUCACAUUCCCAAGAACAGUGCUAAAAGCGGAUGCAGCCAUUAAAAAUUACGACGCGUUUGGUCCGUGGCAUUUUCGAUGUCUCGCGAAAGCACUGGUUAGCGAUUACAUUACCUGCAUUUGUUUCGGCCGCGUCGGUUUCAGGUCCCAUGUAAUCACAAACCAUCCUUUCAUUAGUAGAAAAUAGGGCUUUCGUUCGGGCCAGAUAAGCUCAUUAGUCCCAAUUCAGUCACGAACCGAGACUAAUGUGAGCAUUGGUCCCGGUUCAUGCGGCUAAAGGCAUUAGUCCCGGUUCAAAUGAGCCCUUUAGUCCCGGUUUGAGACACGAACUGCGACUAAAGGGUGCGAUGCCCUUUAGUCCCGGUUCGUAUCUUAAACCGGAACAAAAGAUUAGACUUUUAGUCCCGGUUCGAGACACGAACCGCCCUUUAGUUCCGGAUUUUCAAAUUGUAACCCCCCUUCCCGUGGAUUGCCUUUUCAGUUUUGUAAAAAGCAAAAGAAAAUGAUGCCUACGGUCUGUUUGCAAAUUUUUAAAAUCCUCAAAUUCUAAAAGGAAAAAAAGUUAUGCUCAAAUUUUAGUUUUUCUAUUUGAAUUUUGGUUAAAUCAGGUCAAACUACUUAUUCAAGAAGUAUUAGUGUUACUAAAUAAUUAUUCAAGAAUAUUAGUGUUACUAAUUAAUUAUUACAGUUUUUUGAAUUUUGGUCAAAUCUGGUCAAACUGUGGUCAAACUACUUAUUCAAGAAAUAUUAGUGUUACUACAUAAUUAUUCAAGAAUAUUAGUGUUACUAAAUAAUUAUUUCAAUUUUUUGAAUUUUGAUCAAAUCUGGUCAAACUACUUAUUUAAGAAAUAUUACUAUAAUAAUUUUGGUCAAAUAAUUAUUGUUUCUUUUAGAAUAAUAGUUUCUAACUCAAACAGUGAAACGUGUGACUUCAUGCUCAAGCUAAACUCCUGAGGGUUAAUAGGAUUGACAUCUCAUUAUCACCACUAGGGAAAAGCGUAUACACAGAAUCUUACCAGCAGCGCGCUUUAAAAUCAGGCGCUGCUGCUAAGUAGCAGUAGCGCGGGCCAUGGAAACUCGCUGCUCAAACAAGUUUAUCAGUAGCGCGUGCACUCCAAGAAGCGCUACUGCUAAAAUUCUCACGACGCCGCCGCGAGGCCAGUUAUAGCAGCAGCGCGUUAAAAUAAACAGCGCUACUGCUACGUAACGUAGCAGCAGCGCAUUUAAGCAAUAAUCGCUACUGCUAAAUUAACUACAAAAAUCAAUGAGCAUUCAGCGCAUUCAGCGUAACGUAGCAGCAGCGUAUUUUUUAUGUCUAUGUCUAUUUUUACAUACUGACACAUAGCAGUAGCGUGUUCAGGCCGAAAGGCGUUACUGAUAGGUAGUUUAGCAGUAGCGCGUUUACCUAUAGCGCGCUACUGCUAUUCCAUUCCAUCUCCCCCCACUCACUAGCCUCAUCCACAAAUCACACUCACACACACUCACGGUCUCCUCCUCACCCCCCGCGCCGCCGGUCCUCCCUCGUCGCCCCUCCCCCGAUCUGCGCUGCUGUCGCCUCAUCCUCCUCGCUGGACUCGGUACCGGCCUCCUCCUCUGUCCUCCCUCCACUCGCCGCUGGCCGCCCCCUCCUCGCUCCGCCUUCCUCCUCGACCCGUCCUCCCUCCACUCGCCGCCGGCCGGCCCGUCCUCGCUCCGCCUUCCUCCUCCGUCCUACUAUCUUCUCCCUCCUCGAGUCGCCCCUCCUUGUCCCUCCUCCCUGAUACAUUUUGAUUUAGUAGGCUUUCAUAUGUAACAUUUUGAUUUAGUUGAUAUGAUUCAGUUGAUUUAGUAGGCUAGUUGAUUUAGUUGAUUUAGAACAUUUUGAUUUAGUUUAUUUAGUAGGCUAGUUGAUUUAGUUGAUUUAGUAGGCUAGUUGAUUUAGAACAUUUUGAUUUAGUUGAUUUAGUAUGCUAGUGGAUUUAGUAUGCUAGUUGAUUUAGUUGAUUUAGUAUGCUCGAUUUAGUUUUUUUGUAAUAAGUUAUUUUUUGGCAAAAUGUAGGUGCCAAUUUAGUUAAAUUUGCCACUUGUUUCCUGUGAAGUGAAUCGUUAAUCCUUUGCUCAUAUUGCUUUAGGAAAAUGGCGCCACCACCAGCACCAUUAUGUCGACUGUGCAAGUCAAGGUGCGCCAGCAGCCUUGCAACUGACAAGCUGUUCGGCAUCUACUUCCAUCCGAGUUUUCGUCAUGCGGCGGUAAGAAAUUAGAUAAAAUGUAACAAUUAUUUUACUUUUAGUGUUGGCAUUACUGCAUUGUGUCAUUUUGCUUUUCUUACAUAGAUCGUCCCAUGCAAUGUGAGGUUGAAAUUCAACAAGCUGACAGGAGACACUGUGACAUUUGAGGCUCCUAGGGGGCCGUACACUAUGGAGGUCGAGAAAGGACGCAAUAUGUCGCAGAUUGGAGGAGAUGGAUGGGCCCGUUUCCUCGCUCGCAUGCGUCUUACUGGUGGUGAGUUGAUCAGAUUCUCCUUCAAAGCAGAAAGACCCAAGCUGGUUGUCAUUUAUAUCAACCUGGUGGAAGAUGACGAAGAUGAUAAAGAUAAUGAGGACCCACUCAAUGAAGAUGAUGAGAACCCACUUCAUGAAGCUAUCAUAGCUCAAAGAAUGAGGCUGAGCGAGGAGGAGGUGUGCAACCUAUGGGACAUAAUUCCGCCACGUGAUGACUUUGUCGGGGUGCCAUUCGUGACCCGCCUGACAAGUACCAUGGUCGAUCGGCAUGAAAUGGUAUGUUAUACGUGCUGCAUGUAGUAAUUUGAUGAUAUAUAUAUAUGCUUUAUUGUUAUACUUACAAAUGCAAAUUAUCCGAUUAUAUGCUUAGUGAAUCCGAUGAUAUGCUUAGUGUAGAGUCCAAUGAUAUGCUUUGUGGAAUCUAGUCGAUGAUAUACUUUAGUGUAGAGUCUGAUCACAUGCUUAUUAGUGUAGAAUCCAAGGAACUAUUAAUAGUGUACAUAAUCCAUAUAUAUACUUAUUAGUAGAAUUCAUGAUUAAUUAGUACAAAUGCGUAGUACCGUGUCUUUUGAUAGUGUAGAAAUCUAGACUUAAUAGAAAUAUAUUUGCAAGAGUAUGUGUGAAGCUAUUUAUUAAUUGAUAUGUUUUUCUUAUUCAGAGAUUGCCAAAGAACCUAUCUGUGAGUUGUGGUAUCGAGCCUGAUGAAGAAGGCUCAGUUGGACUACGCCUUAUCGCAAGGGGCUCCGUCACCACAUGUACUUACCGCAUGGACAUAGAUGGUCGCACACACUUGAACUCGGUUGGGUGGAAGAGAUUCCUCAUUGGCAAGAAUCUUCGUGCUGGACAGGCCAUCCUAAUUACUAUCAGGAACACCCACCACCUAGGCUUGAGGAUGAUGAUCGUCGUCGAUAUCAUCUAGAACUACAUAUGUGUGUGUGGCUAUAUCAUCUAGAACUACAUAUGAUGAUCGUCGUCGAUAUCAUGUAGAACUACAUAUGAUGAUCGUCGUCGAUAUCAUCUAGAACUAAAUAUGAUGAUUGUCGUUGAUGUCAGCUUGAGGAUGCAUGUUGAGUAUAUAUGAAAUUGUUAUCUAGUACUCCCUCGGUUCCAAAUUACUCGUCGUGGUUUGAGUUCAAAUUUGAACUAAAACCACGACGAGUAAUUUCGAACCGAGGGAGUACUACCUAGUACCUAUAAUGCUUUAUGAAAUUGAUAUCUAGUAGUACCUAGUAUCUGGAAAUUGCAGUUUAUCGAAGCUGGAAUGGGGAAAUGGUGAAAGAUAUAAUAGUAGCGCUAGACCGGGAAAUCGCUACAGCUAAGUAAUAGCAGCGCGUUAUUGAAAAGCGCUGCUAUUAUAGUCAAUAGUGGUAGCGCGGAUACAGGCAGCACUACUACUAAGAGUUAGCUGUAGCGCCUUAUUGGUAGCGCGGGCACCCGCGCUGCUGAUAGGCCUAAAACCUGCGCUGCUGCUAGCCUUUUUUCCCUAAUAGCGUAUUGUCAGGAAAACAACAAGUGCAGACUUGGAAACAAGGGGGGAAUAGAACCCAAAAGUUAAGCGUGCUCAGGCCGGAGUAGUGAGAGGAUGGGUGACCGGUCGGGAAGUUAAAUGAUUUGAAAUGAUAAUGGGUGAUUAGAGAUUAGAGGUUAAAUAGAGCAGUGAUAAGGGGUGAUUAGAGAUUAAAUUGAAAAAUAAUUUCAAAUUUUGAAAAUCAAUUUUUUUAAAAAAAUCAAAAUUUUCUUUCGUAAAAAUAUCUUUAGUACCGGUUGGUGUUAGAUAAUGGGUGAUUAGAGAUUAGAGGUUAAAUAGAGCAGUGAUAAGGGGUGAUUAGAGAUUAAAUUGAAAAAUAAUUUCAAAUUUUGAAAAUCAAUUUUUUUAAAAAAAUCAAAAUUUUCUUUCGUAAAAAUAUCUUUAGUACCGGUUGGUGUUACCAAUUGGGACUAAAGGUGAAGCUCCAGACAGCGGCCACCUGGACGGCCUUUAGUCCCGGUACUAAAGGUCCUCUAGAACCGGAACAAAUGGUUCUUUUUCUACUAGUGUUCACAUAACCGAAAACACCCGAUAAAGCCUGGUAUCGAAUAACACUGCUUGUGCUGAUCGUUUUCUUCGCCACGAGGGCCAAGCAGCGGCCGUUUCUCCACCUCGAGGGCCGCCGAUCUCUCUUCACCGCCGCCGCCAUUGCCGCCGUGGGUAGCGCCAUCGAUCUCUCUUACCGCUGCCGCCACCACGGCCGCCGUGGGCAGUGCCGCCGAUCUUGCUUCGCCGCCAUGAACAGUAGCGUUGUUGUGAAUGGCUGGUGAUCUCAUUUUCCGUCAUGAGCCAUCUGUCCUCCAGACCCCCGGCUUCUUCUACAAGGCCGGUGACUGUACUCCACGGCUUCCUAUUCCCUUGCAUGAACCAAACACAUCAUGUAUUCACUUACCCCUAAUUUAAUACAGUGUAUUCUCAUUACAACAGGAGUAGUUUUAACAUGUUUCCUCUUACCUCCUCUUUUCACAUGAGAGAUAAGAGCAUAUAAUUGAUCUGAGCUGUCGAACUGUGGGGGUUGCAGAUACUGGACGAACCAUUUGAAUCAUGUUGUAUGAGAAAUACAAGCUCCAUGGCAUUUGCUUCUGCAGACCAACAGAACAUAUCAACUGCAGAGUACUCCGUAUCCUAAAUCAUGGUUAACUAAUUAUCGACGUUUACGCUUGUUUGAGCCUGACCAGGGUACCCUGAAUAUAGUCAGGGAUUAAAUAAAUUAGAGUAGCAAAGGGUCCUUCGUGAGGUGAUGCUAAGACCCCAUCUCAAGCAAGGCAUACCGUGUGUACAGGGGAGCCUUCUUUGCUUUAACUUGCAUCCUAAUCAUUCGUGCCGUGAUGGUGGAGUAAAGGAAGAUUCUAUUCUAAAAACCAAUCUAUCAAUUGGUUAACCCUCCUCGGAACAACAAGGCAUUCUUGUCGUGCUCCUUUCUCAGAUUCAUUGUUCUAUCACGUACACAUAUACCAUCAUCAAGAUGGAGACCAGAAGCAAUACAAAGCCAAACACCAUGCCUUCCUAAAGCACACAUGCAUUAUUCUUCCAUCCACUCAUCUUUGAUAUACCAACUUAGCAUUCCAUUUGCGACACCGAGCAAAUACCCGGAGACAAGGAGAAGUAAUGGCCGAGUCGGCCGUCGGUGCUGUGCUCGGCAAUGUCAGCACCCUUGCGGUUCAGGAGACCACGCUCCUAUGUGGAGUUAGCCUAGAAGUGGAGUUCCUCAAGGAUGAGCUCAAGCGGCUGCAAGGCUUCCUCCAAGACGCCAACAACAAACGGAGGCGGGGAGAUGAAAGUAUUGUUGUCUUGGUCAGCCAGAUCAGAGAUGUGGCGUAUGAGGCCAACAAUGCCAUUGAAGCCGCUGAGUACAUGCAGAAGAGAAACAGAUUGAAGAAGGGAUUCAUGGGUGCCAUUGCAAGGUAUGCUCGCCUACCAAGUGAUUUGACUACCCUUCACGAAAUUGGUGUCGAAAUCCAACGGAUCAAAAGGAAGAUUUCUGAUAUAUUUGAAAGUGCAAACCGUCUGAAAAUAGUUGAUUUGGGGAAUACUUCAAUAGAAAAUGUUCAUCUUGAUGAUGAGUUCCAACUAGAUUAUGGCCCUAUGCAUCAAAACAUUGAAGAAAUUGUAGUUGUUGGCUUUGAGGGUGAGUACAAAGAAAUAGCGGGGAAGUUAGUGGAGGCAGAGAAGAGCCUUAGUGCUAUCUCCAUCGUUGCUAUGGGUGGGGCAGGAAAAACAACACUUGCUAGAAAAGUCUACACUUCAGAUAGAGUCAAACUACACUUUGAUACAAUUGCUUGGGUUACUGUAUCUCAAAAGUACAAGGUCAUUGAUUUACUAAAGGAUAUUCUAAAACAAAUAGUGGAGAGGAGAGAUGAGUCAAUUGAUAAAAUGGAUGAGUACGAGGUGGGAAAGAAGAUCCAUAAUCUUUUGUUCAAAAAAAGAUACUUAGUAGUUCUUGACGAUGUGUGGGAAACAGAUACAUGGGAGCAAUUAAACAGAACCAUUACUGCCUUUCCAGAUGCAACUAAUGGUAGUAGGAUACUAUUAACCACACGGAAAGAAGAUGUUGCACGUCUUGUUCAGAUGCCAACCUAUGUUCAUUCUUUGAAGAAGUUAGAUGAAGAGAGGAGUUGGGAACUCUUUAGUAGAAAAGCUUUACCAUCGUAUAAAAGGUCUGCUAUAGCUCAUGUGGAUGAGUUUGAAAAACUUGGAAGAAAGCUUGCAAAGAAAUGUGACGGAUUGCCACUUGCACUUGCAAUUUUGGGGGGUUAUCUAUAUAAAAACCUAAAUAAACAAGCAUGGACUGAUAUACUAUUGGAUUGGCCUGCAACAAAAAAUGGAGAGAUGAUGCAAAACAUACUAGCUCGUAGUUACAAGGACCUGCCAAAUCAUUAUUUACGAUCCUGUUUUCUCUAUAUUGCUGCUUUUCCUGAGGAUUACGAAAUUUAUGUGUCGGAUCUUAUGGAAUUAUGGAUAGCAGAAGGCUUCAUUCCACACACACGAAAUCAUAAACUAGAAGAAACAGCACGCAAGUAUGUAGCCGAGUUGGCCCAGAGAAGCCUUGUGCAGGUUACUGGUAGAAGUGAGGCACAUGGAUGGAUUGAGAAAAUAAGGGUUCAUGAUAUUUUACGUGAUUGGUGCAUAGAAGAGGCAAGAAAAGAUAGUUUUCUUGUUGUCAUCGACAAAACUUCAGGUCAUGUUGCCCUUCAUCUCUUUUCAUAUAGUUUUAUUUUGUAUUUUAAUAGUACUAAAACUCCUACAUGUCACUCCUAAAUAGCCUAAUUUCAUUUAUGCCACUAGUAAAAUCAAAGCUUAUUCCUUACCUAUCACUGCAUAAAGUCUUUUAAUUUUCUCUAUUCAUUUUUUUACUUUCAGUUAGAGGAGCUCCAUUAUCUCACAUAUGAGUUGUUAGUUUUUGUUGUUGUUGUUGUAGAAAACCACUUAAAUCAUCCUUGCAGAGAAAUCUUGCCUAGAAGACAAAUGCUUGCAAAGAUUUUGUCAAAAUUUACACACUAGAAGCCAAUGUUUUACCGUCCUUAAACUUUAUUUACUUUACAUCUCUCUCUCUCUCUNNNNNNNNNNNNNNNNNNNNNNNNNNNNNNNNNNNNNNNNNNNNNNNNNNNNNNNNNNNNNNNNNNNNNNNNNNNNNNNNNNNNNNNNNNNNNNNNNNNNNNNNNNNNNNNNNNNNNNNNNNNNNNNNNNNNNNNNNNNNNNNNNNNNNNNNNNNNNNNNNNNNNNNNNNNNNNNNNNNNNNNNNNNNNNNNNNNNNNNNNNNNNNNNNNNNNNNNNNNNNNNNNNNNNNNNNNNNNNNNNNNNNNNNNNNNNNNNNNNNNNNNNNNNNNNNNNNNNNNNNNNNNNNNNNNNNNNNNNNNNNNNNNNNNNNNNNNNNNNNNNNNNNNNNNNNNNNNNNNNNNNNNNNNNNNNNNNNNNNNNNNNNNNNNNNUGUGUGUGUCUCAAAUCAAAGAAACCGUACUACCUAAAGAUGCAUUUUUAUAUGCAGCAGUCUAGUGGUAUAAAGAGAACAUUUUUUUUUUGCCUUCGGGGCCAAAAUGGUAUUUUUACACAUUUUAUGGUGCCGAAUAGGGAGAAAUAAGUAAGUAACCAGUGGUAUGGGGGAAUUGGCUCCUUAGAAUUGGCAUGUGGAUGAAUCUCUCUUUGAUACAGCGCAAUCAUGUGGCCUCUUGCUGACAAAUGGCAUACAAAAUUUUGCAGGCCAAGUUGGUGCAAUAUCAACUGAUAUCACGAUAUCAUAUCGUUACUGUUAUCAGCACUUCAAUGGUCAGAAUUUGCAGGCAUCACGUAAUCUCUGAGCUCUAAUUGGGUUUCAUCUUCGAUCAAUAUCCCUUCCUAAACUCAGAUUUCUUCGUGUUCUUCACAUUGAAGACUCAAGCCUAAGGGAUUCCUCUAGGGCAAUAGGUGGGUGCAUUCAUCUAAGAUGCCUCAAGUUGAUAAGAUGUAGACGUGUGACCCUCCCUUCAUCAAUUGGACAACUCCUUUACUUGCGAACUAUUGAUAUGAGGAACACACAUGCACUGGUACCAAAAUCUAUGUGGAAUAUCCCUUCUCUAAGGCAUGUUUACCUCUCUGAUGAAUUUUUUCCACCAAGGGGUGUGCAUCAAAAUGAGCUCAAGACCUUCCGGUUAAAGCUUACAGUUGAAAAUGCUACUUUUGCCACUAUGGGGAAAGUCUUCAAUCUUGAUAUGAUGAUGUUUUUGGGCCAAAUGACUCAACUAACAGACUUGUCGUUGAGAUGCAAGCCUAAGGUGUGGGUCACAAGGUCACGCAUGCCUUCGGAAAUGGUGAAUAUAUUAGCAAACAUGCCUCACCUAGUUGAUGUUGAGCUCCAUAGAUUCGAUGUGCUUGAUAAGUUUCCUGAGAGCCAUCACUUCCCACAAAGCCUACGAAGAUUCUCUCUAGAAGCUGAUUCCAUUCAACAAGACCCGCUGCCGGUGUUGGAGAAGCUCCCAUGUCUUGUGGUGCUGAGGUUGAGUGGGUACACUGGCCAAACCAUAUCAUGCUCUGACGGGGGUUUUCCUCGUCUCCAGAACUUAUGGCUUACUAGCUUUCAUAACACUAAGGAAUGGAAGAUCGAGGCUGGGUCCAUGCCAAAGCUCUCCCACAUGAUACUCGAUGAGUUCAGUAAGAUGAGAAAGGCCCCCGAGGCAUUGCUGCACCUUCCGUCACUCAAUCUGCUGGAACUAAAUGGUAUGCCCUUGAUUUCUGUUGGAGAAGACAGCACGCAUCGAAGGAGCUGAAGCAGAAAGGAUGCAAGGUAACCAUAUAUUCCCUCAGUCCCUCCCCUACCCUCCUGUUCUCGUUAAUUUUAUUUUAUUUGAUUUUACUUCUGCUAUCCGUGUUUCAUUUCAUACAAGGAGGGACCGAGAUGCUCGUAAUUAAUUACGUGUUGUUUUGUUUAACUUGUUCGUGGGUUGUGCUCUAUCUUUCACAACUGCCUUGUUUGUCUGGAAUGAUAUUCUCUUAGGUGCUCUUGCAGGUGACUGGAGGAUAAACAGUCUGGUGGUUAUGGAGCUUAACUACGAGCAGCGCACAUGUUUAAUUGUUACUGUUCCCUAAUUCCGAAGGCAUUCUUGGACUGCAAGAGAUGAAUGUGUUAUAUCGGGCCUGCAUGUAUCUCUCAGUCUGUCUAUGUGUUCGUUUGAUGAAAUAGGCCUAUAUGUUGUCUUUAAGACGAUUAUUGUGCCUGUAUUUCCGAUUAUUGUAACAAAUAAGAAUGGGGCAUUGGUCUACCCUAACAUGUGCUGCCUUCAAGACGAUUAUUGUGCCUGUAUUUCCGAUUUCUGCAAUGGCAUGCCUUGCAAGUUCGUGUAUUUCUUUCAUGCUCUCUUUUCAUGGUGAGCAGAGCACUCACUGUUAUCAACUCCUCAUGUAAUGUGUGUCUGUAAAGUGGGCUUUGAGAGGAUAAUUUGUUUGUACCGUGGUUUCUGGUUUGGCAAUUGGCAUGCACGUUGUGAUGGUCUCUCUUGUAAUGGUAGUUACUCGGCACAAAGUUCCAGACUCAUAUGUCCCCUUUGUUUACUUUCAGUCUCACAAACUGUAAAGAGAAUGGAACUAUGGAAGUAUGUGCAACAUGAGGAGCUAGUUAGCUCCACGGUAGUUGCUCGCAAUAUGUUGAUGCAGCAAAAUACUACCCUGAUUCAUUUAUACAGUGCUUGCCUGAAUGGAGUACUGGUCUGAUGCUUACAAGCUGACAUCCUCAGUCAAGUGCAACACACUUCUUUUUGGCCAACAACCUUAUUAAAGACUACGUACAACCUGAAUCGGCACUUUCACUGCAAAUUCAGAUCACUGAGAAUAACCCAAACAGUUGAAUGUCGUGUCAGUACAUAAUAGAAGAAGAAGAACACAAGCCAUGUUUUCAGGAUCAUCACAACAAGAACCACACACAGACUUUUUAGCGGUCUCUCUUCAGUCAAACGUUGAGUAUUGUCUCGAUUCAUGCAUUGUGUAUUACCUGAUCUGCGAUGUGUUUUUCUUCUCACUUUUGAACGUGGUGAGCUGGGCGCAAUGAAAAGCUCCAGGCCUCCUCCCAAGCUUUCACACACAAUACAUUCUCGGCCCGUGGGAGUAACCACCGUCAACCUUGCACACACCGGCCGCCCCCGCCGCCCCUCAUCGGCAGGUCUCCAUGCUCGUCCCUUAAUUCUCUGCCUUUUACACUAGUGCGACGGGGGAGUACCUUUUUUUUCCUCAGUAGCAGAAUUCAGCUCUGUUCAUGCUCUAACUCAAGUCAGGUCUUUGUUGGGUUUCGCCCACGGAUCGAUCACAUCAAAACACGACAAACACACAUGCACAAAAAACUGAUAGCCAGGGCCUUUGUCGUGCCCUUUGGUUUUCCUCUUUUAUCUUCCUUGUCUGGUUUUCUCCAUGGUGUUACGAAACUCACGCACCUUGUUGUGCAUAUAUAUAAGCCAACACAUGCGUCGACCGGACGAGGAGCUACCGACCCUAAAGAGAACUCCUAGACCUAGACGUACUAGACUUAGAUUACAAACCGGACAUGGCAUGUAAGCCAACACAGCCUAGUAUUACACGGACAAACAUUACUACCACAUGUACGUGCUGAAUUAACUGAUCCUAGCUUGACUCAACCUUCCUAGUCUAAGCACACGGCAAUGCUGAUCACGAAUACUAACCACACUAACAAACAUGAUGUUUGGAUUACUCGAACAAGUCUUCCCAUGGCUUGCUCCAGAUCUGCAGUACUGGAUCCCAAAGGUAAAGGGGGGUUUCUACAAAACAUUAACGAUGCAUUCAGUUGGAGCUCAGGUAACGUAUUCACUGUUGUAAGGCAAACAGAAGGGGGCAGACAAGCCGCAAAAUCUUUAACAUCGAAAUCAUCGGGAAUACAUGGAAAUACAUGCUCCGUUUUAAUCAUUACACUGACUGGAUUCAGGCAACACUUCCGUACAUCCUGGAAAAUGAGAAGGGAAAGAGAGAAUACACUCGGACUAGGAACAAUUCAGCAAUUAAAGAAGCUUUCAUAUGAUUCUUCUUUUCAGCCAGAAAUCUUUACAUGGUUCCUCUUUUUCGACUUAAUAUUUACAAGAAUAUGUCAGUUCGUAAGCCUUGAUCAGACAAAUGUUUGUAUCUCUGAGUAUGUCAAUGAUCACUCGCUGACAAUCAGAGAAUAUUAUAACAUGUGAUAACGAUAAUUCCUGUGCGAGAGCUAAUGCUUUCUGGCUGUAGAUGCUCUUAUAGCUUUGGACCGAAUUGGACAAACCUAUGUGGAGACGGGCCUCUGCACGGAUGGGCCUGGUUCGUUCGUUUUUAUAUGAAACGGGCUUCGUUCCAUCUACGCACGCUUGCUUCAAAAGAAGAAGAAAAACUUGCGCAGGCUGCGGGUGCUGCCGCCUUUGCAUCUGCAUCUCCCUCCCCCCGCCUCUGCAUCUGAAUUUCAGUUUCCGAUACAAUCUGCCGCCUCUGCAUCUUCCUCCUCCCGAUCCUAUCCGAUCCAAUCGAUGGGGUGCACUAUAAGAAAUAUGUCAACUUGCGACCAUCACUAUUGGUCGCUGAAAGGUCAUUGUUUUUCAUUUGCGACCUUUUUGUGACCAAAAAUAGAUAAUCAAAAGCUGACCGUCUUUAAUGGAAAUUAACAACCUUUUUUGUGAGAAGGUCGUAGAAGGCAACGACCAAAACAAAAGGCCGUUGGUUCAAUGACCUUUUGUUUUAGUCGUUAGCUGUCUGCCCAGACCAUGUCGGAUCCGACGUGGCAAGCUGACGUGGCAAAAUUGCGACCAAAUGAAAAGGUUGUUGAUAAGAAUCAGCCCGGUCCAUUUUGGUGUUUUACAUGGGCCAAGGCCAACAAUUCAGCCAAUUUAAUAAAAAAAAAUCCUGUUAAUUCUGGUCAGACACAUGGGUCAAGCCCAACAUUGCAGCAUUUUUAUUUUUGGGUCAUGGCCUUUUUUCUCAACAGUUUCAUUUUUCAAUUUCUAUAUAAAAUGGGUCAACUAGUACAAUGCGUCCUCGUUGUCAGGUUCUGGUAACUGGGUCCUAGCUGUUAGAGUCAUAUUCUUCAUAUUUCAAUUUAAAAGUAAAUAAAUAACCAGUAUUUACAUUGGCACAGACCAUGUAAUACUUCAAAUAAUAUCAGCCUGGUUGUACAAAUAACACAUGAUACAAGCUCGUAACAUAUACUUUACAAGCAUCUAGAAGUGUAAUAGCAGUUUCAAGUAUGGCAAUCACAGUUACAAGCUCCAAAAGUGUAAUACUAGAUGGCUAUUCACAGUCUUGCCAUGCCUAGAUCCUCUUGUCUAAUCACCCAUGAAUUUGGUUCCUGCACAUGUUUGGAACCAUGUAAUUCUUCAAAAGAAGAUGCACAAGAGCAUAUAAUAUAGAGUACUAGUAUGAAACAAGGGGCAAGAAUGAAUUUGACAGCAAGGAAUCGAAACAAGGACAAGAAUAAUUCUUUGCCACUGGAAGAUUAGAAGCAGCAAAACAAGGUCUCGAUGGCCAUGGACACACAUAGAGCAUGAGCUCAAAAUAGAGCAGAGCAGAGGUGUGGUUGCUCGCUUAGCAGCUAUGUCGGAACGGAAGAAGAGCGACCGGAGGGGGGCAUUCAGUGUGGAAGGAGAAUGUGGCGUGGCUGUCUUGCACCUGCACGUGUUAGGAAGUGCACGCAUCAGGGAACCAAACCAAGUAUAGACAUGGCACGCUGAAAGAAUAUAAACUCCAUCCUUCCACCUUGUUUCAACAUAUAAUGAAAGAAUAUAAAGUAUGUUGCAUCGCAUAGCAAAAGAAACCAUAUAAUGUCUAAACAUACAUUUGCAAAAAUGGAGCUAGCUAGGUUCUCUCUAGGAUUACUAGUCAGCUCACAUUAUAUACAUCUCAUUUGUUCAUCUUAUAUAACAGAAAAUGGAGCUAGGUUCUCUCCAGGAUUACAGCAUUUGUACAGUAAUCCUGUAAUAUGGUACUAUCUUUGCUUAGUAAGUUACAGAUCGCACCAUAAUAUCCAUAAAGUCACAAUAUCAUGUAAUUGUUGAAUGACUCAUGGUACAACUUGCAUUGUUAAAAUGCAAUGAACCAGGAUUUUACUUACACAUAUGGUUAAAGAAACAAACUUAAGGAAUUAGUUAGAAUCUCAUAUCACCCAUGAUCCACUGAUUAGACUGGUAUUAUAUCUUACAAAUCGAACUGAAGAAGUUCAUUUCCAGCUCAACUGUAAUUUCAGGCCAACUACUGUAAGAUGCAGGGAGCAGAGAGCUCACCAUGGCUGUCAUGUAGCCGACAUGGAAGAGACAACAUGUCCGUCCAAGCAGGAUCAACAGCACCAACAGAUGGGUCCGGGGUUGUCGCCGCUCCUCCUUGUGGAUGCCGAGGUCGGAGACGCCGGAUCCGUGCAGGCAUCCACCUCCCAUCCUUGCAAUUAAAAAUUUAAACUGAAAGUAAAAGGCUCCAUUUCCAAUUAAAGCCCUGAACUAAAAACAGAGGUAGCCGGAGUGAGAAAUUGUCUUUGCAAUUUACCACAAAUUUUGCGAAAUUAUGCAAGAACGUGUGCAACGAAUGUUCAACUGUUUGUUGACACUUGAUAGACUGACUUAAUCUCAAGUUUACUGCUGUGACAUAAACCAAAGCUAUAUCAGGAUUUCAAAAAAUCAUGUCAGAACUCCUGUGCACAAGGAGAAAACAUGUACUGUGCAUAAAUUUAUUGCUGAAUCCUAAAUUUAGCCAUCAUAUGUCAGAAUUCAAUUUUAUCAAUCUCUGAACUCUAGUCUAGUCUGAUUCCUGAAAGGGGAUAUGAAUCAGCAAAAGAAAAUCAAGGGGCCCUGCCCUCCCACUUUCCUAGAAAAAAUGAGUACAUGAGCAGCAGCUAUAUAGGACUGAUGAUGCACGUACUACCUGGGAAAGAGCCACCACCAGUAGUUUGUUAUAGUAGCAGGGUCAGUGAACUUUCCAAAUAUGGAUUCAACAAAUGCAUAGUGAGUUCACUUGUUAAUUGGCUAGUUGAGUUCUACUGAUAACCUACAGAGCAACUAAAACUGUGUUGCUAUAUAUAGACACGCAACGUAGAUGAGAAAAAUGGAAGACAUGAAUUUGAUGCUAUAUUGAAAGUAAAAAAGAACUAUAUUUAUCACAACUUUGAAAAGUAACUAAAUAGUGCAAUGGUAUAAUAUUUGAUAUGGCAGCCAGGAAGUUGUACAAUACAAAUGCUGAUUAACCAAAUUACAAAAGAGUUCCCAAACAUUUGGUGCUCACAGGUAGAACUUAAGAAUCAUUCGUGAAUUACUCGGCAAUACAGAGAUGCUGAAAACAUACCCAAACCCGUUCAAGAUUUCCGCACAUUUUAUUUUUGCAAUGUUUUCUUUGUAAAACCGAGUACAAACCUUGGAAUCGAAAGGGUUUAGGCUUAGUAGAACUAAAACCGAGUACAUGAUGUGCGGUUUCAGUACUACUAGGUGUGAGGAGGAGGUUAGCCUUGAUGGCCAGGUGGUACCUCAGAAGGACACCUUUCGGUAUUUGGGGUCAAUGCUGCAGGAGGAUGGGGGUAUUGAUGAAGAUGUGAACCAUCGAAUCAAAGCCGGAUGGAUGAAGUGGCGCCAAGCUUCUAGCAUUCUCUGUGACAAGAGAGUGUCACAAAAGCUAAAAGGCAAGUUCUACAGGACGGCGGUUCGACCCGCAAUGUUGUAUGGCGCUGAGUGUUGGCCGACUAAAAGGCGACAUGUUCAACAGUUAGGUGUGGCGGAGAUGCGUAUGUUGAGAUGGAUGUGUGGCCACACGAGGAAGGAUCGAGUCCGGAAUGAUGAUAUACGAGAUAGAGUUGGGGUAGCACCAAUUGAAAAGAAGCUUGUCCAACAUGGUCUGAGAUGGUUUGGACAUAUUCAGCGCAGGCCUCCAGAAGCUCCGGUGCAUAGUGGACGGCUAAAGCGUGCGGAGAAUGUCAAGAGAGGGCGGGGUAGACCGAAUUUGACAUGGGAGGAGUCGGUUAAGAGAGACCUGAAGGAUUGGAGUAUCACCAAAGAGCUAGCUAUGGACAGGGGUGCGUGGAAGCUUGCUAUCCAUGUGCCAGAGCCAUGAGUUGGUUGCAAGAUCUUAUGGGUUUAACCUCUAGCCUACCCCAACUUGUUUGGGACUAAAGGCUUUGUUGUUGUUGUUGUUGUUGUUGUAAUGUUUUCUUUGUAAAGAAGUUCAUUUGUGCAAUGUUCCAGCAAACGAAAUGAAAGAUGCCAGUCUCGCACUAUGCAGAAUAUGAACCCGCGAGAAAUGCAAAUGAACAGAUGACCCAGUACCUGCUAGCAUUUGUACAAGACUGAGAUAAUGUGAUCAUGCGUUGGGCAAGAGAAACUAUUGGCAGCGACCUCAUAGCACAAGAUUCAAUAGACCAACAAUGUGUAAGGGAAGACCAUGACAGGGAUCUAGUUCUCACCCAGCAGAGUCCCUUUGGAGCCGAUCAGCUCCACACGCAAGCAGCUUACGGAUGCAAUCCAACUCCCCACUGCGAGGCGCCAAAUGCAACGACGUGCUACCAGGGAAGCUACAGCAGCAACACAUGAAGAUUAGCAUUUCGCACAAUCAAAACAACCAAUGGAGCUGAUCCCCAAAACUGACGAGGUUGGCACGGAUCGGCACAUUACCCAUAUGAUACGGUCAGUGCUAACACGAUGGCACCGUUCUCCAGCAGCACCUGCACGCAGCCCGACCGGCCCUGCCUGGCCGCGAGGUGCAGCGGUGUGGCUCCGUGGUCGUCGCUGACGUUGACGAACUGGGCAAACCCCCUGCGAAGCUUCGACAGCAGCCGGUGAGCAGUCUUGCCAACUACAGUAACAACCAAUCUGGCAAGAUCUGAGUAGCCAAGGACUGAAGCGAGGUCUCACCAUGAGUCGGCCAACAGCGUGGUCCGCACCGUGGAGAGGAUGACGUCCAGGCAGUCGACGUGGCCGUAGUAUGCCGCGUGGUGGAGGCAGGUCCGCACGUGCACCGAGUCAAACAUCAAGACGGAGUGGAGGACCUCGGGCGUGGAGCGCAAGUCUGAGAGGAGGCCACCGACGGUGGCGGUAUUGCGGGCGUAGGUGUCGGAGCCCCGGUCGAGCGUGUCGGGCAGGACCGAGGAGGAGGCCGGAUCUGGCGGAGCGGAGGACCUCGGGCGUGGGGGAGGCCAUGGACGGCGGCGAGCUCCGCCGAAGGGAGGUGGCAGCGGUGAUAUGGAAGGGAGGAGGCGAGCUCUCACUCUCUCUCGGUCUGGAAGGGAUCGGGAUCAGUUCGGUUGGUGGGAGCGGUGCGGGCGAGGAGAUGAGGACAAAGGAGGAGGAGAGGGGAUUGGGAUCGAUGAGGGCGUCGCGGAAGGAGGCCGGGGACGGGGAGGAGGUGACAGCCGCAGUGAGGAGAUGAGGACGAGGGAGGAGGAGAGACAGACGACGGCGGGUGGGUUCUCGGGGAGAGGGGAGAGAGAUCUGGAUGGAGCGAAGAGAGGGGGCUGCUAGGGUUUGGGUUGGGGGAAAGAGACCUGAGAGGUGAUAACCCACAAGUAUAGGGGAUCACAACAGUUUUCGACACAAGGGGAGCCAAAGAAUAUUUGAAGGUAUUAGCAACUGAGUUGUCGAUUCAACCACACAUGGAGAUUAAUUAUCUGCAACAAAGUGAUCAAUAGCAAAGUAGUAUGAUAGUUUUGAUAGUAGUGACAACAGCAAUAGUAACAGCAAUAGUGAUAGCAGUAUUUUUUUAGCAAGUGCAACAAUAAUGACAGCAGUAGUAACUUAGCAGAAACAAUAUAGGAUAAAUUCGUAGGCAUUGGAUCGGUGACUUAUUGGAUGAUAUUCAUCAUGAGACAGUUAUAACCUAGGGCAAUACGGCACUAGCUCCAGUUCAUCAAUAUAAUGUAGGCAUGUAUUCCGUAAAUAGUCAUACGUGCUUAUGGAAAUAACUUGCAUGACAUCCUUUGUCCUACCCUCCCAUGGCAGCGGGGUCUGCUACCUCUUGAGCAUGCGUUGGUUUUCCCUUGAAGAGGAAAGGGUGAUGCAGCAAAGUAGCGUAAGUAUUUCCCUCAGUUUUGAGAACCAAGGUAUCAAUCCAGUAGGAGGGAGCAUGCAAGUCGCCUAGUACCUGCACAAACAAACAAGAACCUCGCAACCAACGCGAUAAAGGGGUUGUCAAUCCCUUCACAGUCACUUACGAAAGUGAGAUCUGAUAGAGAUAAUAAGAUAAAUAUUUUUGUGAUAUAGAUUGGAAAGUAAAGAUUGCAAAAUAAACAACGAUAAAAAUAGCAAGUAGAUAGCAAAAUAAUAUGAUGGAAGAUAGUGAAGGAAAUAUGCCCUAGAGGCAAUAAUAAAGUUAUUAUUUAUUUCCUUAUAAUCAUGAUAAAUGUUUAUUAUUCAUGCUAGAAUUGUAUUUACCGGAAACAUAAUACAUGUGUGAAUACAUAGACAAACAAAGUGUCACUAGUAUGCCUCUACUUGACUAGCUCGUUAAUCAAAGAUGGUUAUGUUUCCUAACCAUGAACAAUGAGUUGUUAUUUGAUUAACGAGGUCACAUCAUUAGUAGAAUGAUCUGAUAGACAUGACUCAUUCCAUUAGCUUAGGACCCGAUCGUUUAGUAUGUUGCUAUUGCUUUCUUCAUAACUUAUACAUGUUCCUAUAACUAUGAGAUUAUGCAACUCCCGUUUACCGGAGGAACACUUUGGGUACUACCAAACGUCACAACGUAACUGGGUGAUUAUAAAGGAGUACUACAUGUGUCUCCAAUGGUCGAUGUUGGGUUGGCGUAUUUCGAGAUUAGGAUUUGUCACUCCGAUUGUCGGAGAGGUAUCUCUGGGCCCUCUCGGUAAUACACAUCACACAAGCCUUGCAAGCAUUACAACUAAUAUGUUAGUUGUGAGAUGAUGUAUUACGGAACGAGUAAAGAGACUUGCCGGUAACGAGAUUGAACUAGGUAUUGGAUACCGACGAUCGAAUCUCGGGCAAGUAACAUACCGAUGACAAAGGGAGCAACGUAUGUUGUUAUGCGGUCUGACCGAUAAAGAUCUUCGUAGAAUAUGUAGGAGCCAAUAUGGGCAUCCAGGUCCCGCUAUUGGUUAUUGACCGGAGACGUGUCUCGGUCAUGUCUACAUUGUUCUCGAACCCGUAGGGUCUGCACGCUUAAGGUUACGAUGACAGUUAUAUUAUGAGUUUAUGCAUUUUGAUGUACCGAAGGUUGUUCGGAGUCCCAGAUGUGAUCACGGACAUGACGAGGAGUCUCGAAAUGGUCGAGACAUAAAGAUUGAUAUAUUGGAAGCCUAUGUUUGGACAUCGGAAGUGUUCCGGGUGAAAUCGGGAUUUUACCGGAUUACCGGGAGGUUACCGGAACCCCCCGGGAACCAUAUGGGCCAUCAUGGGCCUUAGUGGAAAGGAGAAAGGGGCAGCCCAAGGGGGCUGCGCGCCUCCCCCCUUCCCCUAGUCCUAUUAGGACUAGGAGAGGUGGCCGGCCACCCCUCUCCCUCUUUCCCCCUUGGGAAUCCUAGUUGGAAUAGGAUUGGGGGGGGAGUCCUACUCCCGGUAGGAGUAGGACUCCUCCUGCGCCCUCCUCCCUGGCCGGCGCCCCUCUCCCCCCUUGGCUCCUUUAUAUACUGAGGUAGAGGCACCCCAAAACACACAAGUUGACACAAGUUGAUCCACGUGAUCUAUUCCUUAGCCGUGUGCGGUGCCCCCUGCCACCAUAUUCCUCGAUAAUACUGUAGCGGAGUUUAGGCGAAGCCCUGCUGCUGUAGUUCAUCAAGAUCGUCACCACGCCGUCGUGCUGACGAAACUCUUCCCCGACACUUUGCUGGAUCGGAGUCCGGGGAUCGUCAUCGAGCUGAACGUGUGCUCGAACUCGGAAGUGCCGUAGUUUCGGUGCUUGAUCGGUUGGAUCGAGAAGACGUACGACUACUUCCUCUACGUCGUGUCAUCGCUUCCGCAGUCGGUCUGCGUUGGGUACGUAGACAAUACUCUCCCCCUCGUUGCUAUGCAUCACAUGAUCUUGCGUGUGCGUAGGAAAUUUUUGAAAUUACUACGAAACCCAACAGUGGCAUCCGAGCCUAGGUUAUUGAUGUUGAUGUUAUAUGCACGAGUAGAACACAAGUGAGUUGUGGACGAUACAAGUCAUACUGCCUACCAGCAUGUCAUACUUUGGUUCGGCGGUAUUGUUGGACGAGACGACCCAAACCAACCUUACGCGUACGCUUACGCGAGACCGGUUCCCUCGACGUGCUUUGCACAGAGAUGGCUUGCGGGCGACUGUCUCUCCAACUUUAGUUAAACCAAGUAUGGCUACGCCCGGUCCUUGCGAAGGUUAAAAUGGAGUCUAUUUGACAAACUAUCGUUGUGGUUUUGAUGCGUAGGUGAGAUUGGUUCUUACUUAAGCCCGUAGCAGCCACGUAAAACAUGCAACAACAAAGUAGAGGACGUCUAACUUGUUUUUGCAGGGCGUGUUGUGAUGUGAUAUGGUCAAGGCAUGAUGCUGAAUUUUAUUGUAUGAGAUGAUCAUGUUUUGUAACCAAGUUAUCGGCAACUGGCAGGAGCCAUAUGGUUGUCGCUUUAUUGAAUGCAAUGCAAUCGCGAUGUAAUGCUUUACUUUAUUACUAAACGGUAGUGAUAGUCGUGAAAGCAUAAGAUUGGCAAGACGACAACGAUGCUACGAUGGAGAUCAAGGUGUCGCGCCGGUGACGAUGGUGAUCAUGACGGUGCUUCGGAGAUGGAGAUCACAAGCACAAGAUGAUGAUGGCCAUAUCAUAUCACUUAUAUUGAUUGCAUGUGAUGUUUAUCCUUUUAUGCAUCUUAUCUUGCUUUGAUUGACGGUAGCAUUAUAAGAUGAUCUCUCACUAAAUUAUCAAGAAAUGUUCUCCCUGAGUAUGCACCGUUGCCAAAGUUCGUCGUGCCCAGACACCACGUGAUGAUCGGGUGUGAUAAGCUCUACGUCCAUCUACAACGGGUGCAAGCCAGUUUUUGCACACGCAGAAUACUCAGGUUAAACUUGACGAGCCUAGCAUAUACAGAUAUGGCCUCGGAACACGGAGACCGAAAGGUCGAGCGUGAAUCAUAUAGUAGAUAUGAUCAACAUAAACGAUGUUCACCAUUGAAAACUACUCCAUCUCACGUGAUGAUCGGUCAUGGUUUAGUUGAUUUGGAUCACGUAAUCACUUAGAAGAUUAGAGGGAUGUCUAUCUAAGUGGGAGUUCUUAAGUAAUAUGAUUAAUUGAACUUAAAUUUAUCAUGAACUUAGUCCUGGUAGUAUUUUGCAAAUUAUGUUGUAGAUCAAUAGCUUGCGUUGUUGCUUUCAUAUGUUUAUUUUGAUAUGUACCUAGAGAAAAUUGUGUUGAAAGAUGUUAGUAGCAAUGAUGCGGAUUGGAUCCGUGAUCUGAGGUUUAUCCUCAUUGUUGCACAGAAGAAUUAUGUCCUUAAUGCACCGCUAGGUGAUAGACCUAUUGCAGGAGCAGAUGCAGACGUUAUGAACGUUUUGCUAGCUCAAUAUGAUGACUACUUGAUAGUUUAGUGCACCAUGCUUAAUGGCUUAGAAUCGGGACUUCAAAGAUGUUUUGAAACAUCAUGGACCAUAUGAGAUGUUCCAGGAAUUGAAGUUAAUAUUUCAAGCAAAUACCCGAGUUGAGAGAUAUGAAGUCUCCAACAAGUUCUAUUGCUAAAAAAAUGGAGGAGAAUCGCUCAACUAGUGAGCAUGUGCUCAGAUUGUCUGAGUACUACAAUAGCUUGAAUCAAGUGGGAGUUAAUCUUCCAGAUAAGAUAGUGAUUGACAGAAUUCUCUAGUCACCAUCACCAAGUUAGUAGAACUUCGUGAUGAACUAUAAUAUGCAAGGGAUAACGAAAACAACUCCCAAGUUCUUCGUGAUGCUGAAAUCAACGAAGGUAAAAAUCAAGAAAAACAUCAAGUGUUGAUGGUUGACAAGAUCACUAGUUUCAAGAAAAGGGCAGAGGGAAGAAGGGGAACUUCAAGAAGAACAGCAAGCAAGUUGCUGCUCAAGUGAAGAAGCCCAAGUCUGGUCCUAAACCUGAGACUAAGUGUUUCUACUGCAAAGGAACUGGUCACUGGAAGCGGAACUACCUCAAGUGAUUGGCAGAUAAGAAGGAUGGCAAAGUGAACAUAAGUAUAUUUGAUAUACAUGUUAUUGAUGUGUACUUUUCUAGUGUUUAUAGCAACCCCUCAGUAUUUGAUACUAGUUUAGUUGCUAAGAUUAGUAACUCGAAACAGGAGUUGCAGAAUAAACAGAGACUAGUUAAGGGUGAAGUGACGAUGUCUGUUGGAAGUGGUUCCAAGAUUGAUAUGAUCAUCAUCGCACACUCCCUAUACUUUCGGGAUUAGUGUUGAACCUGAAUAAGUGUUAUUUGGUGUUUGUGUUAAGCAUGAAUAUGAUUUGAUCAUGUUUAUUGUGAUACGGUUAUUCAUUUAAGUAAGAGAAUAAAUUGUUGUUCUGUUUACAUGAAUAAAACCUUAUAUGGUUACACACCCAAUGAAAAAUAGUUCGUUGGAUCUCGAUCAUAGUGAUACACAUAAUCAUAAUAUUGAAACCAAAAGAUGCAAAGUUAAUAAUGAUAGUGCAACUUAUUUGUAGCACUGCUGUUUAGGUCAUAUUGGUGUAAAGCGCAUGAAGAAACUCCAUGCUGAUGGGAUUUUGGAAUCACUUGAUUAUGAAUCACUUGAUGCUUGCGAACCAUGCCUCAUGGGCAAGAUGACUAAGACUCCGUUCUCCGGAGCGAGCAACUGACUUAUUGGAAAUAAUACAUACUGAUGUAUGCGGUCCGAUGAGUGUUAAGGCUCAUGGCAAGUAUCGUUAUUUUCUAAACUUCACAGAUGAUUUGAGCAGAUAUGGGUAUAUCUACUUGAUAAAACAUAAGUCUGAAACAUUUGAAAAGUUCAAAGAAUUUCAGAGUGAAGUGGAAAAUCAUCGUGACAAGAAAAAUAAAGUUUCUAUGAUCUGAUCGCGGAGACAAAUAUUUGAGUUACGAGUUUGGUCUUCAAUUAAAACAAUGUGGAAUAGUUUCACAAACUCAUGCCACAUGGAACACCACAGCAUAAUGGUGUGUCCGAACGUCAUAACCGUACUUUAUUGGAUAUAGUGCAAUCUAUGAUGUCUCUUGCCGAUCUACCACUAUCGUUUUGGGGUUAUGCAUUAGAGACAGCUGCAUUCACGUUAAAUAGGGCACCAUCUAAAUCCGUUGAGACGACACUAUGUGAACUAUGGUUUGGCAAAAAACCUAAGCUGUCGUUUCUUAAAGUUUGGGGUUGCAAUGCUUAUGUGAAAAAGUUUCAUCCUGAUAAGCUCAAACCCAAAUCGGAAAAGUGUGUCUUCAUAGGAUACCCAAAAAGUUACUGUUGGGUACACCUUCUAUCACAGAUCCAAAGGCAAGACAUUCAUUGCUAAGAAUGGAUCCUUUCUAGAGAAGGAGGUUCUCUCGAAAGAAGUGAGUGGGAGGAAAGUAGAACUUGACGAGGUAACUGUACCUACUCCCUUGUUGGAAAGUAGUACAUCACAGAAAACUGUUUCUGCGACACCUACACCAAUAAGUGAGGAAGUUAAUGAUAAUGAUCAUGAAACUUCAGAACAAGAUACUACUGAACCUCGUAGAUCAACCAGAGUAAGAUCCGCAUCAGAGUGGUACAGUAAUCCAGUUCUGGAAGUCAUGCUACUAGAUCAUGAUGAACCUACGAACUAUGAAGAAGCGAUGGUGAGCCCAGAUUCCGCAAAGUGGCUUGAAGCCAUGAAAUCUGAGAUGGGAUCCAUGUAUGAGAACAAAGUAUGGACUUUGGUUGACUUGCCCGAUGAUCGGCAAGCAAUUGAGAAUAAAUGGAUCUUCAAGAAAAAGACUGACGCUGACGGUAAUGUUACUGUCUAUAAAGCUCGACUUGUCGCAAAAGGUUUUCAACAAGUUCAAGGGGUUGACUACGAUGAGACCUUCUCACCCGUAGCGAUGCUUAAGUCUGUCCGAAUCAUGUUAGCAAUUGCCACAUUUUAUAAUUAUGAAAUUUGGCAGAUGGAUGUCAAGACUGCAUUCCUGAAUGGAUUUCUGGAAGAAGGGUUGUAUAUGAUGCAACCAGAAGGUCUUGUUGAUCCGAAGGGAGCUAACAAAGUGUGCUCCAGCGAUCCAUCUAUGGACUGGUGCAAGUAUCUCGGAGUUGGAAUAUACGCUUUGAUAAGUUGAUCAAAGCAUAUAGUUUUAUACAGACUUACGGUGAAGCCUGUAUUUACAAGAAAGUGAGUGGGAGCACUACAACAUUUCUGAUAAGUAUAUGUGAGCAACAUAUUGUUGAUCGGAAAUAAUGUAUAAUUUUCUGGAAAGCAUAAAGGAAUAUUUGAAAGGAGUUUUGCAAAGAAAGACCUCGGUAAAGCUGCUUACAUAUUGAGCAUUAAGAUCUAUAGAGAUAGAUCAAGACGCUUGAUAAGUUUUUCAAUGAGUACAUACCUUGACAAGAUUUUGAAGUAGUUCAAAACGGAACAGUCAAAGAAAGAGUUCUUGCCUGUGUUGCAAGGUGUGAAAUUGAGUAAGACUCAAAGCCCGACCACGACAGAAGAUAGAAAUAGAAUGAAAGUCAUUCCCUAUGCCUCAGCCAUAGGUUCUAUAAAGUAUGUCAUGCUGUGUACCAGAUCUAUUGUAUACCCUACACUGUGUUAAGCAAGGGAGUACAAUAGUGAUCUAAGAGUAGAUCACUGGACGGCGGUCAAAAUUAUCCUUAGUGAAAUAAGGAAAUAUUUCUCAAUUAUGGAGGUGACAAAAAGGUUCGUCGUAAAAGGUUACGUCGAUGCAAGUUUUGACACAGAUCUGGAUGACUCUAAGUCUCGAUCUAGAUACAUAUUGAAAGUGGGAGCAAUAAGCUAGAGUAGCUCCGUGCAGAGCAUUGUUGACAUAGAAAUUCGCAAAAUACUUACGGAUCUGAAUGUGACAGACCCGUUGACUAAAAUUAUCUCACAAGCAAAACAUGAUCACACCUUAGUACUCUUUGGGUGUUAAUCACAUAGUGAUGUGAACUAGAUUACUGACUCUAGUAAACCCUUUUGGGUGUUGAUCACAUAUCGAUGUGAACUAUGGGUGUUAAUCACAUGGUGAUGUGAACUAUUGCUGUUAAAUCACAUGGCGAUGUGAACUAGAUUAUUGACUCUAGUACAAGUGGGAGACUGAAGGAAAUAUGCCCUAGAGGCAAUAAUAAAGUUAUUAUUUAUUUCCUUAUAAUCAUGAUAAAUGUUUAUUAUUCAUGCUAGAAUUGUAUUUACCGGAAACAUAAUACAUGUGUGAAUACAUAGACAAACAAAGUGUCACUAGUAUGCCUCUACUUGACUAGCUCGUUAAUCAAAGAUGGUUAUGUUUCCUAACCAUGAACAAUGAGUUGUUAUUUGAUUAACGAGGUCACAUCAUUAGUAGAAUGAUCUGAUUGACAUGACCCAUUCCAUUAGCUUAGCACCCGAUCGUUUAGUAUGUUGCUAUUGCUUUCUUCAUAACUUAUACAUGUUCCUAUAACUAUGAGAUUAUGCAACUCCCGUUUACCGGAGGAACACUUUGGGUACUACCAAACGUCACAACGUAACUGGGUGAUUAUAAAGGAGUACUACAGGUGUCUCCAAUGGUCGAUGUUGGGUUGGCGUAUUUCGAGAUUAGGAUUUGUCACUCCGAUUGUCGGAGAGGUAUCUCUGGGCCCUCUCGGUAAUACACAUCACAUAAGCCUUGCAAGCAUUACAACUAAUAUGUUAGUUGUGAGAUGAUGUAUUACGGAACGAGUAAAGAGACUUGCUGGUAACGAGAUUGAACUAGGUAUUGGAUACCGACGAUCGAAUCUCGGGCAAGUAACAUACCGAUGACAAAGGGAGCAACGUAUGUUGUUAUGCGGUCUGACCGAUAAAGAUCUUCGUAGAAUAUGUAGGAGUCAAUAUGGGCAUCCAGGUCCCGCUAUUGGUUAUUGACCGGAGACGUGUCUCGGUCAUGUCUACAUUGUUCUCGAACCCGUAGGGUCCGCACGCUUAAGGUUACGAUGACAGUUAUAUUAUGAGUUUAUGCAUUUUGAUGUACUGAAGGUUGUUCGGAGUCCCGGAUGUGAUCACGGACAUGACGAGGAGUCUCGAAAUGGUCGAGACAUAAAGAUUGAUAUAUUGGAAGCCUAUGUUUGGACAUCGGAAGUGUUCCGGGUGAAAUCGGGAUUUUACCGGAUUACCGGGAGGUUACCGGAACCCCCCGGGAACCAUAUGGGCCAUCAUGGGCCUUAGUGGAAAGGAGAAAGGGGCAGCCCAAGGGGGCUGCGCGCCUCCCCCCUUCCCCUAGUCCUAUUAGGACUAGGAGAGGUGGCCGGCCACCCCUCUCCCUCUUUCCCCCUUGGGAAUCCUAGUUGGAAUAGGAUUGGGGGGGGGGAGUCCUACUCCCGGUAGGAGUAGGACUCCUCCUGCGCCCUCCUCCCUGGCCGGUGCCCCUCUCCCCCCUUGGCUCCUUUAUAUACUGAGGUAGAGGCACCCCAAAACACACAAGUUGACACAAGUUGAUCCACGUGAUCUAUUCCUUAGCCGUGUGCGGUGCCCCCUGCCACCAUAUUCCUCGAUAAUACUGUAGCGGAGUUUAGGCGAAGCCCUGCUGCUGUAGUUCAUCAAGAUCGUCACCACGCCGUCGUGCUGACGAAACUCUUCCCCGACACUUUGCUGGAUCGGAGUCCGGGGAUCGUCAUCGAGCUGAACGUGUGCUCGAACUCGGAGGUGCCGUAGUUUCGGUGCUUGAUCGGUUGGAUCGAGAAGACGUACGACUACUUCCUCUACGUCGUGUCAUCGCUUCCGCAGUCGGUCUGCGUUGGGUACGUAGACAAUAAUCUCCCCCUUGUUGCUAUGCAUCACAUGAUCUUGCGUGUGCGUAGGAAAUUUUUGAAAUUACUACGAAACCCAAUAGAUAGACCCGGGGGCCAUAGGUUUCACUAGUGGCUUCUCUCAACAUAGCAAAUUCUACGGUGGGUGAACAAAUUACUGUCGAGCAAUUGAUAGAAAAGCGCAUAGUUAUGAGAAUAUCUAGGCAUGAUCAUGUAUAUAGGCAUCACAUCAGCGACAAGUAGACCGAAACGAUUCUGCAUCUACUACUAUUACUCCACACAUCGGCCACUAUCCAGCAUGCAUCUAGAGUAUUAAGAUCAUAAGAACAGAGUAACGCAUUAGGCAAGAUGACAUGAUGUAGAGGUAUAAACUCAAGCAAUAUGAUAUAAACCCCAUCUUUUAUCCUCGAAGGCAAUAAUACAAUACAUGCCUUGCUGCCCCUGCUGUCACUGGGAAAGGACACCGCAAGAUUGAACCCAAAGCUAAGCACUUCUCCCAUUGCAAGAAAUAUCAAUCUAGUAGGCCAAACCAAACAGAUAAUUCAAAGGGACUUGCAAAGAUAUUAAAUCAUGCAUAAAAGAAUUUAGAGAAGAAUCAAAUAUUGUUCAUAGAUAAUCUUGAUCAUAAACCCACAAUUCAUCGGAUCUCGACAAACACACCGUAAAAAGAAUUACAUCAAAUAGAUCUCCAAGAGAAUCGAGGAGAACUUUGUAUUGAGAUCCAAAGAGAGAGAAGAAGCCAUCUUGCUAAUAACUAUGGACCCGAAGGUCUAUGGUAAACUACUCACACAUCAUUGGAGAGGCUAUGGUGUUGAUGUAGAAGCCCUCCAUGAUCGAUUCCCCCUCCGGCGGAGCGCCGGAAAAGCCCCCAAGAUGGGAUCUCACGGGUACAGAAGGUUGCGGCGGUGGAAAUAGGGUUUCGUGGUGCUCCUGGAUGUUUUUGGUAUAUAUAUAUAUAUAUAUAUAUAUAUAUAUAUAUAUAUAUAUAUAUAGGAGGAAGAAGUACGUCGGUGGAGCUGCGAGGGGCCCAUGAGGGUGGGGGCGUGCCUGGCCCCCCUGGGUGCGCCCUCCUGCCUCGUGGCCUCCUCGCUUCUUUCUUGACGUCCAUUCCAAGUCUCCUGGAUCAUGUUUGUUCCAAAAAUAAAUCUCCCGAAGGUUUCAUUCCUUUUGGAUUCCAUUUGAUAUUCCUUUUCUGCGAAACACUGAAAUAGGCAAAAAAAUAGCAAUUUGCACUGCGCCUUUGGUUAGUAGGUUAGUCCCAAAAAUAAUAUAAAAAGGUAUAUUAAAGCCCAUUAAACAUCCAAAACAGAUAAUAUAAUAGCAUGGAACAAUCAAAAAUUAUAGAUACGUUGGAGACGUAUCAGGGUCCAUAUUGGAAACUAAGGGAUAUUAAGGCCUCAUUUUAAUAGAGAACCGGAAUAAAGCAUUAACACACGGUGAAUACAUGAACUCCUCAAACUACGGUCAUCACCGGAGUGGUCCUGACUAUUGUCACUCCGGGGUUGCCGGAUCAUAACACGUAGUAGGUAACUAUAACUUGCAAGAUCGGAUCUAGAACAUGGAUAUAAUGGUGAUAAUAUAAACGGUUCAGAUCUGAAAUCUUGGCACCCGGGCCCAAAGUGACAAGCAUUAAGCAUAGAAAAGUCAUAGCAACAUCCAUCUUAGAACAUAGUGGAUACUAGGGAUCAAGCCCUAACGAAACUAACUCGAUUACAUGAUGAAUCUCAUCCAACUCCUCACCGACCAGUGAACCUACUAAGGAAUUACUCACUCCCGGUGGGGAGCAUCAUGGAAUUGGCGAUGGAGAUAGGUUGAUGAUGAUGAAGAUCGAAGAUCCCCCUCUCCAAAGCCCCAAACGAGCUCCAGAUCUGGCCUCCCGAUGAAGAACAGGAGGUGGCAGCGGCUCCGUCUCACGAAACGCGAUAAUUCUUUCUUCCUCAUUUUUUUCUGGAAAAAUAGGAUUUAUAGUAUCCGGGAGAUCGUCUGUGGGGCCACCAUAUGGGGACUGUUGGGGAACGUAGUAAUUUCAAAAAAAAUUCUUACGCACACACAAGAUCAUGGUGAUGCAUAGCAACGACAGGGAAGAGUAUCGUCCACGUACCCUCGUAGACCGUAAGCGGAAGCGUUAUGAGAACGCGUUUGAUGUAGUCGAACGUCUUAAUGAUCCGACCGAUCCAAGUACCGAACGCACGGCACCUCCGAGUUCAGCACACGUUCAGCUCGAUGACGUCCCACGAACUCCGAUCCAGCAGAGCUUCACGGGAGAGUUCCGUCAGCACGAUGGCAUGAUGACGGUGAUGAUGUUGCUACCGACGUGGGGCUUCGCAUAAGAACCGCUACGAUAUGAUCGAGGUGGAUUAUGGUGGAGGGGGGCACCGCACACGGCUAAGGGAUAAAUGAUCAACUUGUGUGUUAUAGGGUGCCCCCUGCCCCCAUAUAUAAAGGAGCAAGGGGGGAGGCCGGCCGGCCCCUGUAGGGCGCGCCAAGAGGAGUUCUCCUCCUAGUAGGAGUAGGACUCCCCUUUCCUACUCCUACUAGGAGGAGGAAACGAAGGGGGAAGGGGAAAAGGAAGGAGAGGGAGGAAAGCAGGAAAGGGGGGGCGGCCCCCUAGUCCAAUUCGAUUUGGGCUAGGGGGGCCGCAUGCCCUGCCUCCUCUCUUCCACCACUCGGCCCAUGAGGCCCAAUACUUCUUCCCCGUAUUCCCGUAACUCCCUGGUACUCCAAAAAAUACCCGAGUCACUCGGAACCUUUCCGAUGUCCGAAUGUAGUCGUCCAAUAUAUCGAUCUUUACGUCUUGACCAUUUCGAGACUCCUCGUCAUGCCCCCGAUCUCAUCUGGGACUAUGAAUUACCUUCGGUACAUCAAAUCACAUAAACUCAUAAUAUCGAUCAUCACCGAAUGUUAAGCGUGCGGACCCUACGGGUUCGAAAACUAUGUAGACAUGACCGAGACACGUCUCCGGUCAAUAACCAAUAGCGGAACCUAGAUGUUCAUAUUGGCUCCUACAUAUUCUACGAAGAUCUUUAUCGGUCAAACCUCAUAACAACAUACGAUGUUCCCUUUGUCAUUGGUAUGUUACUUGCCCGAGUUUCGAUCGUCGGUAUCUCAAUACCUAGUUCAAUCUCGUUACCGACAAGUCUCUUUACUCGUUCUGUAAUGCACUAUCCCACAACUAACUCACUAGUUGCAUUGCUUGCAAGGCUUAUAGUGAUGUGCAUUACCGAGAGGGCCCAGAGAUAUCUCUCCGACAAUCGGAGUGACAAAUCCUAAUCUCGAUCUAUGCCAACUCAAUAAGUACCAUCGGAGACACCUGUAGAGCACCUUUAUAAUCACCCAGUUACGUUGUGACGUUUGGUAGCACACAAAGUGUUUCUCCGGUAAUCGGGAGUUGCAUAAUCUCAUAGUCAUAGGAACAUGUAUAAGUCAUGAAGAAAGCAAUAUCAGUAAACUAAAACGAUCAAGUGUUAAGCUAACGGAAUGGUUCAAGUGAAUCACAUCAUUCUCCUAAUGAUGUGAUCCCGUUUAUCAAAUGACAACUCAUGUCUAUGGUUAGGAAACAUAACCAUCUUUUAUUAACGAGCUAGUCAAGUAGAGGCAUACUAGUGACACUCUGUUUGUCUAUGUAUUCACAUGUAUUAUGUUUCCGGUUAAUACAAUUCUAGCAUGAAUAAUAAACAUUUAUCAUGAAAUAAGGAAAUAAAUAAUAGCUUUAUUAUUGCCUCUAGGGCAUAUUUCCUUCAGUCUCCCACUUGCACUAGAGUCAAUAAUCUAGAUUACACAGUAAUGAUUCUAACACCCAUGGAGCCUUGGUGAUGAUCAUGUUUUGCUCGUGAGAGAGGCUUAGUCAAUGGGUCUGCAACAUUUAGAUUCGUAUGUAUCUUGCAAAUCUCUAUGUCUCCCACCUGGACUUGAUCGCGGAUGGAAUUGAAGCGUCUCUUGAUGUGUUUGGUUCUCUUGUGAAAUCUGGAUUCAUUUGCCAAGGCAAUUGCACUAGUAUUGUCACAAAAGAUUUUCAUUGGACCCGAUGCACUAGGUAUGACACCUAGAUCGGAUAUGAACUCCUUCUUGCAGACUCCUUCAUUUGCUGCUUCCGAAGCAGCUAUAUACUCUACUUCACACGUAGAUCCCGCCACGACGCUCUGUUUAGAACUGCUCCAACUGACAGCUCCACCGUUCAAUAUAAACACAUAUCCGGUUUGCGAUUUAGAAUCAUCCGGAUCAGUGUCAAAGCUUGCAUCGACGUAACCAUUUACGACAAGCUCUUUGUCACCUCCAUAAACGAGAAACAUAUCCUUAGUCCUUUUCAGGUAUUUCAGGAUGUUCUUGACCGCUGUCUAGUGAUCUACUCCUGGAUUACUUUGGUACUUCCCUGCUAAACUAAUAGCAAGGCACACAUCAGGUCUGGUACAUAGCAUUGCAUACAUGAUAGAGCCUAUGGCUGAAGCAUAGGGAACACUUUUCAUUUUCUCUCUAUCUUCUGCAGUGGUCGGGCAUUGAGUCUUACUCAACUUCACACCUUGUAACACAGGCAAGAACCCUUUCUUAGCUUGAUCCAUUUUGAACUUCUUCAAAACUUUAUCAAGGUAUGUGCUUUGUGAAAGUCCAAUUAAGCAUCUUGAUCUAUCUCUAUAGAUCUCAAUGCCCAAUAUAUAAGCAGCUUCACCGAAGUCUUUCAUUGAACAACUCUUAUUCAAGUAUCCUAUUAUGCUAUCCAGAAAUUCUAUAUCAUUUCCAAUCAACAAUAUGUCAUCCACAUAUAAUAUUAGAAAUGCUACAAAGCUCCCACUCACUUUCUUGUAAAUACAAGCUUCUCCAAAAGUCUGUAUAAAACCAUAUGCUUUGAUCGCACUAUCAAAAUUUUUAUUCCAACUCCGAUAGGCUUGCACCAGUCCAUAAAUGGAUUGCUGGAGCUUGCACACUUUGUUAGCAUCCUUUGCAUCAAUAAAACCUUCAGGUUGCAUCAUAUACAACUCUUCUUCCAGAAAUCCAUUCAGGAAUGCAGUAUUUACAUCCAUUUGCCAAAUUUCAUAAUCAUAAAAUGCGGCAAUUGCUAACAUGAUUCGGACGGACUUAAGCAUCAUUAUGGGUGAGAAGGUCUCAUCGUAGUCCACUCAUUGAACUUAUCGAAAACCUUUCACAACAAGUCGAGCUUUGUAGAUAGUAACGUUACCGUCAGCGUCAGUCUUCUUCUUGAAGAUCCAUUUAUUCUCGAUGGCUUGCCGAUCAUCGGGCAAGUGAACCAAAGUCCACAAUUUGUUCUCAUACAUGGAUCCCAUCCCAGAUUUCAUGGCCUCAAGCCAUUUUGCGGAAUUUGGGCUCAUCAUCGCUUCCUCAUAGUUCGUAGGUUCAUCGUGGUCAAGUAAAAUGACCUCCAGAACAGGAUUACCGUACCACUCUGGUGCGGAUCUUACUCUUUGACCUACGAGGUUCGGUAGUAACUUGAUCUGAAGUUUCAUGAUUAUCAUCAUUGGCUUCCUCACUAAUUGGUGUAGGUGUCACAGGAACCGGUUUCUGUAAUGGACCAGUUUCCAAUAAGGGAGCAGGUACAGUUACCUCAUCAAAUUCUACUUUCGCCCCACUCACUUCUUUCGAGAGAAACUCCCUCUCUAGAAAGGAUCCAUUCUAAGCAACAAAUGUCUUGCCUUCGGAUCUGUGAUAGAAGGUGUACCCAACAGUCUCCUUUGGGUAUCCUAUGAAGACACAUUUCUCUGAUUUGGGUUCGAGCUUAUCAGGUUGAAGCUUUUUCACAUAAGCAUCGCAGCCCCAAACUUUAAGAAACGACAACUUUGGUUUCUUUCCAAACCAUAGUUCAUAAGGCGUCAUCUCAACGAAUUUAGAUGGUGCCCUAUUUAAUGUGAAUGUAGCUGUCUCUAAAGUGUAACCCCAAAACGAUAGCGGUAAAUCAGUAAGAGACAUCAUAGAUCGCACCAUAUCUAGUAAAGUACGAUUACGACGUUCGGACACACCAUUACACUGUGGUGUUCCGGGUGGCGUGAGUUGCGAAACUAUUCCGCAUUGUUUCAAAUGAAGACCAAACUCGUAACUCAAAUAUUCUCCUGCACGAUCAGAUUGUAGAAACUUUAUUUUCUUGUUACGAUGAUUUUCCACUUCACUCUGAAAUUCUUUGAACUUUUCAAAUGUUUCAGACUUAUGUUUCAUCAAGUAGAUAUACCCAUAUCUGCUCAAAUCAUCUAUGAAGGUAAGAAAAUAGCGAUACCCGUUGUGAGCCUGAAUAUUCAUCGGACCACAUACAUCAGUAUGUAUGAUUUCCAACAAAUCUGUUGCUCGCUCCAUAGUUUCGGAGAACAACCUUUUAGUCAUCUUGCCCAUGAGGCAUGGUUCGCAAGUACCAAGUGAUUCAUAAUCAAGUGAUUCCAAAAGUCCAUCAGAAUGGAGUUUCUUCAUGCGCUUUACACCAAUAUGACCUAAACGGCAGUGCCACAAAUAAGUUGCACUAUCAUUAUCAACUCUGCAUCUUUUGGUUUCAACAUUAUGAAUAUGUGUAUCACUACUAUCGAGAUUCAUCAAAAAUAGACCACUCUUUAAGGGUGCGUGACCAUAAAAGAUAUUACUCAUAUAAAUAGAACAACCAUUAUUCUCUGAUUUAAAUGAAUAACCAUCUCUCAUCAAACAAGAUCCAGAUAUAAUGUUCAUGCUCAACGCUGGCACCAAAUAACAAUUAUUUAGGUCUAAAACUAAUCCCGAAGGUAGAUGUAGAGGUAGCAUGCCGACGGCGAUCACAUCAACUUUGGAACCAUUUCCCACGCGCAUCGUCACCUCGUCCUUAGCCAAUCUUCGCUUAAUCCGUAGUCCCUUGGUUCACCUUGCCAUCCUUCUUAUCCGUCAAAUACUUGGGGCAGUUCCGCUUCCAGUGACCAGUCCCUUUGCAGUAGAAGCACUCAGUCUCAGGCUUAGGUCCAGACUUGGGUUUCUUCUCUUGAGCAACAACUUGUUUGCUGUUCUUCUUGAAGUUCCCUUUCUUCUUCCCUUUACCCUUUUUCUUGAAACUGGUGGUCUUAUUGACCAUCAACACUUGAUUCUCCUUCUUGAUUUCUACCUCCGCAACUUUUAGCAUUGCGAAGAGCCCGGGAAUUGUCUUAUCCAUCCCUUGCAUAUUAUAGUUCAUCACGAAGCUCUUGUAGCAUGGUGGCAGUGAUUGAAGAACUCUAUCAAUGACACUAUCAAUAGGAAGAUUAACUCCCAGUCAAGUGGUUAUGGUACCCAGACAUUCUGAGUAUAUGUUCACUAACAGAACUAUUCUCCUCCAUCUUGCAGCUGUAGUACUUAUUGGAGACUUCAUAUCUCUCAAUCUGGGCAUUUGCUUGAAAUAUUACCUUCAACUCCUGGAACAUCUCAUAUGCUCCAUGACGUUCAAAACGUCGUUGAAGUCCCGGUUCUAAGCCGUAAAGCAUGGCACACUGAACUAUCGAGUAGUCAUCAGCUUUGCUCUGCCAGACGUUCAUAACAUCUGGCGUUGCUCCUGCAGCGGGUUUGGCACCCAGCAGUGCUUCCAGGACGUAAUUCUUCUGUGCAACAAUGAGGAUAAUCCUCAAGUUACGGAUCCAGUCCGUGUAAUUUCUACCAUCAUCUUUCAACUUUGGUUUCUCAAGGAACGCAUUAAAAUUUAACGGAACAACAGCACAGGCCAUCUAUCUACAACAACAUAGACAAACAAAAUACUAGCAGGUACUAAGUUCAUGAUAAAUUGAAGUUCAAUUAAUCAUAUUUAAGAACUCCCACUUAGCUAGACAUCCCUCUAAUCAUCUAAGUGAUCACGUGAUCCAUAUCAACUAAACCAUGUCCGAUCAUCACGUGAGAUGGAGUAGUUUUCAAUGGUGAACAUCACUAUGUUGAUCAUAUCUACUAUAUGAUUCACGCUCGACCUUUCGGUCUCAGUGUUCCGAGGCCAUAUCUGCAUAUGCUAGGCUCGUCAAGUUUAACCCGAGUAUUUCUGCGUGUGCAAAAACUGGCUUGCACCCGCUGUAUAUGAACGUAGAGCUUAUCACACCCGAUCAUCACGUGGUGUCUCGGCACAACGAACUUUGGCAACGGUGCAUACUCAGGGAGAACACUUGUACCUUGAAAUUUAGUGAGAGAUUUUCUUAUAAUGCCACCAUCAAUCAAGCAGAAUAAGAUAUAUAAAGGAUAAACAUCACAUGCAAUCAAUAUAAGUGAUAUGAUAUGGCCAUCAUCAUCUUGUGCCUGUGAUCUCCAUCUCCAAAGCACCGUCAUGAUCACCAUAGUCACCGUCUUGACACCUUGAUCUACAUCGAAGCAUAGUUGUCGUCACACCAACUAUUGCCUCCAGGACUAUCGCUACCACUUAGUGAUAAAGUAAAGCAAUUACAUGGCGAUUGAAUUUCAUACAAUAAAGCGACAACCAUAUGGCUCCUGCCAGUUGCUGAUAACUGUGUUACAAAACAUGAUCAUCUCAUACAAUAAAAUUUAGCAUCAUGUCUUGACCAUAUCACAUCACAACAUGCCCUACAAAAACAAGUUAGACGUCCUCUACUUUGUUGUUGCAAGUUUUACGCGGCUGCUAGAGGCUGAGCGAGAACCGUUCUUACCUACGCAUCAAAACCACAACGAUAUUUCGUCAAGUAUGUGUUGUUUUUAACCUUCAAAAAGGACCAGGUGUAGUCACACUCGGUUCAACUAAAGUUGGAGAAACUGACACCCGCCAUCCACCAGUGUGUGAAGCACGUCGGUAGAACCAGUCUCGCAUAAGCGUACGCGUAAUGUCGGUCCGGGCUGCUUCAUCCAACAAUACCGCCGAACCAAAGUAUGACAUGCUGGUAAGCAGUAUGACUUGUAUCGCUCACAACUCACUUGUGUUCUACUGUUGCAUAUAAGAUCUACGCAUAAACCUGGCUCGGAUGCCACUGUUGGGGAACGUAGUAAUUUCAAAAAAAAAAUCUACGCACACGCAAUAUCAUGGUGAUGCAUAGAAACGACAGGGAAGAGUAUCGUCCAUGUACCCUCGUAGACCGUAAGCGGAAGCAUUAUGAGAACAUGGUUGAUGUAAUCGAACGUCUUCAUGAUCCAACCGAUCCAAGUACCAAACGCACGGCACCUCCGAGUUCAGCAUACGUUCAGCUCGAUGACGUCCCACGAACUCCGAUCCAACAGAGCUUCAUGGGAGAGUUCCGUCAGCACGACGGCAUGAUGACGGUGAUGAUGUUGCUACCGACGCAGGGCUUCGCCUAAGCACCGCUACAAUAUGAUUGAGAUGGAUUAUGGUGGAGGGGGAACCGCACAUGGCUAAGGGAUCAAUGAUCAACUUGUGUGUUCUAGGGUGCCCCCCCUACCCCCGUAUAUAAAGGAGCAAGUGGGGAGGCCGGCCGGCCCAUGUAGGGCGCGCCAGGAGGAGUCCUCCUCCUCCUAGUAGGAGUAGGACUCCCCUUUCCUCCUCCUAGUCCCCUUUCCUACUCCUACUAGGAGGAGGAAAGGAAGGGGGAAGGGGAGAAGGAAGGAGAGGGGGGAAAGGAGGAAAGGGGGGCCGGCCACCUAGUCCAAUUCGGUUUGGGCUAGGGGGCCGCGCGCCCUGCCUCCUCUCUUCCACCACUUGGCCCAUGAGGCCCAAUACUUCUUCCCCAUAUUCCCGUAACUCCCCGGUACUCCGAAAAAUACCCAAAUCACUUGGAACCUUUCCAAUUUCCGAAUAUAGUCAUCCAAUAUAUCGAUCUUUAUGUCUCGACCAUUUGGAGACACCUUGUCAUGUCCCCGAUCUCAUCCGGGACUCCGAACUACCUUCGGUACAUCAAAUCACAUAAACUCAUAAUACUGAUCGUCAUCGAACGUUAAGCGUGCGGACCCUACGGGUUCGAGAACUAUGUAGACAUGCCCGAGACACGUCUCUGGUCAAUAACCAAUAGCGGAACCUGGAUGUUCAUAUUGGCUCCUACAUAUUCUACGAAGAUCUUUAUCGGUCAAACCGCAUAACAACAUACGUUGUUCCUUUGUCAUCGGUAUGUUACUUGCCCGAGAUACGAUCGUCGGUAUCUCAAUACCUAGUUUAAUCUCGUUACCGGCAAGUCUCUUUACUUGUUCCGUAAUGCACUAACCCGCAACUAACUCAUUAGUUGCAUUGCUUGCAAGGCUUAUAGUGAUGUGCAUUACCGAGAGGGCCUAGAGAUACCUCUCCGACAAUCGGAGUGACAAAUCCUUAUCUCGAUCUAUGCCAACUCAACAAGUACCAUCGGAGACACCUGUAGAGCACUUUUAUAAUCAACCAGUUACGUUGUGACAUUCGUAGCACACAAAGUGUUCCUUCGGUAAUCGGGAGUUGCAUAAUCUCAUAGUCAUAGGAACAUGUAUAAGUCAUGAAGAAAGCAAUAGCAGUAAACUAAAACGAUCAAGUGCUAAGCUAACAGAAUGGGUCAAGUCAAUCACAUCAUUCUCCUAAUGAUGUGAUCCCGUUUAUCAAAUGACAACUCAUGUCUAUGGUUAGGAAACAUAACCAUCUUUGAUUAACGAGCUAGUCAAGUAGAGGCAUACUAGUGACACUCUGUUUGUCUAUGUAUUCACACAUGUAUUAUGUUUCCGGUUAAUACAAUUCUAUCAUGAAUAAUAAACAUUUAUCAUGAAAUAAGGAUAUAAAUAAUAACUUUAUUAUUGCCUCUAGGGCAUAUUUCCUUCAAAGACAACCCACCUGGGCGCGCCUGGUGAGGAGCCUGCGCCCUGGUAGGUUGUGCCGACCCAGGUGCCCCCCUCCGGUGGGUCUUGGCUCCAGAAAUUCUUCUAUUUUGUAUAAAAAAUCCUCAUAAAGUUUCGCUCCAUUCCGAGAACUUUUAUUUCUGCACAAAAACAACACCAUGGUAAUUCUGUUGAAAACAACGUCAGUCCGGGGUUAGUUUCAUUCAAAUCAUGCAAAUUAGAGUUCAAAACAAGAGGAAACGUGUUAGGAAAAGUAGAUAUGCCGGAUACGUAUCUACUCCCCCAAGCUUAAACCUUUGCUUGUCCUCAAGCAAUUCAGUUGAUAAACUGAAAGUGAAAAAGUAAAACUUUUAUGAACUCUUUUGCUCUUGUUUGCAUAAAUAGCCUUAAACAACACCCAGGUUUUCAGCCAAUCAUUAUAACUAACCAUGUCAACAAUAACUCUUAAAAUUUGUAUUGACUCAUAUCAAUGACAUAAUCAGCUAGCUAGCAAUAAUAAGGUAUCUCAAACAGCAACAUGUUAUCAAAACAACCAUGAUAUAAUAUGACAAUAGUGGUAUCUUGUUAGGCCUUUCUGAGACCGCAAAACAUAAAUACAGAGCACCUCUAAAGUCUGAGCAGCGACUAAACAUUGUAAUUCAUAGUAGAAAAGAUCCAGUCAUGACGCACCCAACAUUAGUUAUUGAUAACCCACAAGUAUAGGGGAUCGCAACAGUUUUCGAGGGUAUAAUUUUCAACCCAAAUUUAUAUAUUCGACACAAGGGGAGCCAAAGAAUAUUUGAAGGUAUUAGCAGCUGAGUUGUCAAUUCAACCACACCUGGAGAUUAAUUAUAUGCAGCAAAGUGAUCAUUAGCAAAGUAGUAUGAUAGUUUUGAUAGUAGUGACAGCAGCAAUAUUAACAGUAACAGUGAUAGCAGUAUUUUUAUAGCAAGUGUAACAACAAUGAUAGCAGUAGUAACUUAGCAGAAACAAUAUAGGAUAAAUUCGUAGGCAUUGGAUCGGUGACUUGUUGGAUGAUAUUCAUCAUGAGAUAGUUGUAAUCUAGGGCAAUACGACACUAGCUCCAGUUCAUCAAUAUAAUGUAGGCAUGUAUUCCGUAAAUAGUCAUACGUGCUUAUGGAAAGAACUUGCAUGACAUCUUUUGUCCUACCCUCCCGUGGCAGCGGGGUCCAUAUUGGAAACUAAGGGAUAUUAAGGCCUCCUUUUAAUAGAGUACCGGAACAAAGCAUUAACACAAGAUGAAUACAUGAACUCCUCAAACUAUGGUCAUCACCGGAAGUGGGCCCGACUAUUGUCACUCCGGGGUUGCCGGAUCAUAACACGUAGUAGGUGACUAUAGCUUGCAAGAUCGGAUCUAGAACAUGGAUAUAAUGGUGAUAACAUAAAUGGUUUAGAUCUGAAAUCAUGGCACCCGGGCCCAAAGUGACAAGCAUUAAGCAUAGCAAAGUCAUAGCAACAUCAAUCUUAGAACAUAGUGGAUACUAGGGAUCAAGCCCUAACAAAAUUAACUCGAUUACAUGAUGAAUCUCAUCCAACUCCUCACCGACCAGCGAGCAUACGAAGGAAUUACUCACUCCCGGUAGGGAGCAUCAUGGAAUUGGCGAUGGAGAUAGGUUGAUGAUGAUGAAGAUCGAAGAUCCCCCUCUCUGGAGCCCCAAACGGGCUCCAGAUCUGGCCUCUCGAUGAAGAACAGGAGGUGGCGGCGGCUCCGUCUCGUGGAUCGCGAUAAUUCUUUCUCCUUGAUCUUUUCUAGAAAAAUAGGAUUUUAUAGUAUCCGAGGGAUCGUUUGCGGGGCCACCAGGUGGGGACAACCCACCUGGGCGCGCCUGGUGAGGGGGAGGUGACCUGGUGGGUUGUUCCCACCCAGGUGCCCCCCUCCGAUAGGUCUUGGCUCCAGAAACUCUUUUAUUUAGUAUGAAAAAUCCCCGCAAAGUUUUGUUCCAUUCCUAGAACUUUUAUUUCUGCACAAAAACAACAUCAUGGUAGUUCUGCUGAAAACAGCGUCAGUCCGGGGUUAGUUUCAUUCAAAUCAUACAAAUUAGAGUGCAAAACAAGAGGAAAAGCGUUAGGAAAAGUAGAUACGUUGGAGACGUACCAAGAGGUGAGUGAGAGCCGUUGGAUCCGUCGGAUUUGGAAGGUUCAGAUCAGCUACAUUGGAGUGAUCUGUGGGAGGAGCCCUAAUUGGUUCAGAAAUUUUAUGAUUUAAAAUAGUUUCUAAGUACUAAAACUAGGAGGUUUUGUGAAGCAGCUAUCAAAAAUAUUUUGCAAAACGGCACAACUAGUUUUAUCACUCAAGUUAGACCACAUUUUAUGGAUGAUCACAAAUUUGCAUGCAUUUUAUCUUUCUAGCUAUUUUUUAUCAUUUUUUGAGUGCCCAAAAUGAGUUUUUUUGAAGGACCUACCAUAUAUAUGUUGCAAAUUGUACCAAAAUUUUUCUAAAAUAAUAGGCCAUAUUUAAUGCACAAUUGACCAAAUGGUUGGGUGUCAAAAGUUUUGAUCCACCUCUCGUGAAAAAGACAAAUUUCCGCUGAUUCAGUAGGAAGGGGGUCAAAUUUGAACUGCAGCUGCCUCAUAGUUUGCUCUUUAUUUUUUCAAAAAAUCAUUUCUAGGUACAUGAGUAUCUAUUUAAUUAGAGAAACAUAAGAAAAAUCCAAGAUUCAACAACUAGCUAGGAACUGUCAUGCCCGCCGUUUUGACCGCAUUUUGAAACGGGCAUAAAAAUUUCAAUUUUUUUUGGGAAAACCUUCGUAUUGUGUCAUUAUAUGUGACCAAGUUAACAGGAAAAAUAAUAAACUUGUAAUACGUCAAUUAUUUUAAAAAAAGUGUUCUCAUAAAUGAGCUAUCAUUUGUGGAGAUUCAUGGCUUUCAAGCCAAAUGAUCAAUCUUCUGGCCACAUUCAUGGCGUAGUUUGUUCAAAUGAUCUAAUAUUGUCGACAAGGGUGAAUCUUGGAAUGGCAAACAAUGUUAUUGAUGACCCACAAGUGUAUGGGAUCUAUCAUAGUCCUUUCGAUAAGUAAGAGUGUUGAGCCCAACGAGGAGCAGAAGGAAAUGAUAAGAAGUUUUCAGUAGGGUAUUCUCUACAAGCACUGGAAUUAUCGGUAACAGAUAAUUUUGUGAUAAGGUAAUUUGUAACGGGUAGCAAGUAAUAAAAGUAAAUAAGGUGCAUCAAGAUGGCCCAAUCCUUAUUGUAGCAAAGGACAAGCCUGGAAAAACUCUUAUAUAAAGGAAAGCGCUCCCGAGGACACAUGGGAAUUAUCGUCAAGCUAGUUUUCAUCACGCUCAUAUGAUUCGCAUUCGGUACUUUGAUAAUUUGAUAUGUGGGUGGACCAGUGCUUGGGUAAUGUCCUUCCUUGGACAAGCAUCCCUCUUAUGAUUAACCCCUAUUGCAAGCAUCCGCAACUACAACAGAAGUAUUAAGGUAAACCUAACCAUAGCAUGAAAUAUAUGGAUCCAAAUCAGCCCCUUACGAAGCAACGCAUAAACUAGGGUUUAAGCUUCUGUCACUCUAGCAACCCAUCAUCUACUUAUUACUUCCCAAUGCCUUCCCGUAGGCCUAAACAAUGGUGAAGUGUCAUGUAGUCGACGUUCACAUGACACCAUGAUACGUCCAUUUUGCAUCAUGCUUUUAUAUCGAUAUUUAUUGCAUUAUGGGCUGUUAUUUCACUUUAUGUCACAAUACUUAUGGAUAUUCUCUCUUAUUUUACAAGGUUUACAUGGAGGGAGAAUGCCGGUAGCUGGAAUUCUGGGCUGGAAAAGGAGCAAAUAUUAAAGACCUAUUCUGCGCAACUCCAAAAGUCCUGAAACUCCACGGAACAUCUUAAAAUAAAUAAAGAAAAAUCCUUGCCAAAGAUGAAGGCCAGGGGGCCCACACCCUACUCACGAGGGUGGGGGGCGCGCCCCACCUCCUAGGGCACGCCCCCUACCUCGUGGGCCCCCUGGUGGGUCUCCGACGUCCAUCUUCUGCUAUAUGAAGUCUUUCGAUGAGAAAAAAAUCAGGGGGAACUUUUUGGGACGAGACUCCGCCGCCACGAGGCGGAACCUUGGCGGAACCAAUCUAGAGCUCCGGCAAAGCUGUUCUGCCAGGAUACUUCCCUCCGGAAGGGGGAAAUCAUCACCAUCGUCGUCACCAACGCUCCUCUCAUCGGGAGAGGGCAAUCUCCAUCAACAUCUUCACCAGCACCAUCUCAUCUCCAAACCCUAGUUCAUCUCUUGUAUCCAAUUCUUGUCUCAAAGUCCGGGAUUGGUGCUGGUAGGUUGCCAGUAGUGUUGAUUACUCCUUGUAGUUGAUGCUAGUUGGUUUAUUUGGUGGAAGAUCAUAUGUUCAGAUCCUAUAUGCAUAUUAUUACCCCUCUGAUUAUGAACAUGAAUAUGCUUUGUGAGUAAUUACGUUUGUUCCUGAGGACAAGGGAGAAGUCUUGCUAUUAGUAGUCAUGUGAAUUUGGUAUUCAUUUGAUAUUUUGAUAAGAUGUAUGUUGUCUAGCCUCUAGUGGUGAUAUGUGAACGUCGACUACAUGACACUUCACCAUUAUUUGGGCCUAGAGGAAGGCAUUGAGAAGUAAUAAGUAGAUGAUGGGUUGCUAGAGUGACAGAAGCUUAAACCCUAGUUUAUGCGUUGCUUCGUAAGGGGCUGAUUUGGAUCCACAUGUUUCAUGCUAUGGUUAGGUUUACCUUAAUACUUUUGUUGUAGUUGCGGAUGCUUGCAAUAGAGGUUAAUCAUAGGUGGGAUGCUUGUUCAAGUAAGAACAGCACCCAAGCACCGGUCCACCCACAUAUCAAAUUAUCAAAGUAUCGAACGUGAAUCAUAUGAACGUGAUGAAAACUAGCUUGACGAUAUUCCCAUGUGUCCUUGGGAGCGCUUUUCCUAUUAUAAGAGUUUGUUCCGGCUUGUCCUUUGCUACAAAAAGUAUUGGGCCACCUUGCUGCACUUUAUUUACUUUUGUUACUUGUUUCUCGUUACAAUUUACCUUAUCACAAAACUAUCUGUUACCACUUAUUUCAGUACUUGCAGAGAAUACAUUGCUGAAAACCGCUUAUCAUUUCCUUCUGCUCCUCGUUGGGUUUGACACUCUUACUUAUCGAAAGGACUACGAUAGAUCCCUAUACUUGUGGGUCAUCAAGACUCUUUUCUGGUGCCAUUGCCGGGGAGUGUAGCGCCUUUGGUAGGUGGAAUUUGGUAAGGAAAAAUUUAUAUAGUGUGCUGAAAUUUACUGUCACUUGUUACUAUGGAAAGUAAUUCUGAAAGGGGCUUGUUCGGGGUAUCUUCACCCCAUCCAGUAGAGCAAAGAGUUGCUCCUCAACCUACUGAACCUAUUGAAAAUGAAACUCCUUUGGAAUUUCCUUCGGGUAUGAUGGAAAAACUGCUAGCUAACCCUUUUACAGGAGAUGGAACAAAGCAACCUGAUGAGCACUUAAUAUAUGUGGAUGAAGUUUGUGGAUCAUUUAUGGUUGCAGGUAUACCCGAUGAUGUUGCUAAGAAGAAGGUCUUCCCUUUAUCUUUGAAGGGAGAUGCAUUGAUAUGGUAUAGGCUAUGUGAUGAUAUGAGAUCAUGGAACUAUAAAAGAUUGAGGUUGGAAUUUCAUCAAAAGUAUUACCCUAUGCAUCUCGUUCAUCGUGAUCACAAUUAUAUAUAUAAUUUCUGGCCUCGCAAAGGAGAAAGCAACGCUCAAGCUUGGGGGAGGCUUAAAUCAAUGUUAUAUUCAUUCCCCAAUCAUGAGCUCUCGAGAGAAAUAAUUAUGCAAAGUUCUUAUGCUCGGCUUUCUCAUAAUAAUCAAACCAUGCUCGAUACUUCUUGUGCUGGCUCUUUUAUGAUGAAGACUAUUGAAUUCAGAUGGAAUUUAUUGGAUAGAAUUAAACGCAACUCUGAAGAUUGGGACCUCGACGAAGGUAAGGAGUCAGGUAUGACACCUAAGUUUGAUUGUGUUAAAUCUUUUAUGGACACCGAUAUUUACCAUAAGUUUAGUACUAAAUAUGGACUUGACUCUGAGAUAGUAGCUUCUUUCUGUGAAUAUUUUGCUACUUAUGUUGAUCUCCCUAAGGAGAAGUGGUUUAAAUAUCAUCCUUCCAUAGAAGUAAAAGUAGCUGCACCUAUUAAAGUUGAAGAAAAGACUGUCGCUUAUAAUGAUCCUAUUGUUCCUACUUCUUAUGUUGAGAAACCACCUUUCCCUGUUAGAGUAAAGGAUCAUGCUAAAGCUUCAACUGUUGCUCGUAAAAGCAAUAUUAGAACUUAUACACCCCCUGAGCAAGUUAAAGUAGAACCUAAUAUUGCUAUUGUUAAAGAUCUCUUGUCUGAUAAUAUUGAUGGGCAUGUUAUUCAGUUCGAAGGUGAAACUGCUAGAAUUGCUAAACAUUGUGCUAAAGAUAAACAUAGACCUGUGGUAGGCGUGCCUGUUAUUUCUGUUAAAAUAGGAGAUCAUUGUUAUCAUGGCUUAUGUGAUAUGGGUGCGAGUGCUAGUGUUAUACCGCAUACUUUAUACGAAGAAAUUAAGAAUGAAAUUGCACCUCCUGAGUUAGAAGGUAUUGAUGUCACAAUUAAACUUGCCAAUAGAGAUACUAUUUCACCAAUUGGAAUUGUUAGAGAUGUUGAAGUCUUGUGUGGGAAAACUAAAUAUCUUGCUGAUUUUCUUGUUCUUACUUCUCCGCAAGAUAGCUUUUGUCCCAUUAUAUUUGGUAGACCCUUCUUGAAAACUGUUAAUGCUAGGAUAGAUUGCGAAAAGAAUGUUGUUACUAUUGGCUUGGAUGAUAUGGUUCAUGAGUUUAAUUUCUCUAAAUUUAGUAAACAACAUCGUGAGGAAGAAUUACCUAGUAAGGAAGAAAUUAUUGGUCUUGCUUCUAUUGCCGUACCUCCUAGUGAUCCUUUAGAACACUAUUUGCUAGACCAUGAAAAUGAUAUGUUCAUGAAUGAAAGAAGGGAAAUAGAUGAAGUAUUCUUUAAACAGGAACCUAUUCUGCAACACAACUUGCCUGUUGAAAUUUUAGGGGAUCCUCCUCCACCCAAGGGUGAUCCUGUGUUUGAGCUUAAACCUUUGCCUGAUAAUCUUAAAUAUGCUUAUCUUGAUGAAAAGAAGAUAUAUCUUGUUAUUAUUAGUGCUAACCUUUCAGAGCAUGAAGAAGAAAGAUUAUUGAAAACUCUGAAGAAGCAUCGUGCUGCUAUUAGAUAUACUCUUGAUGAUCUUAAGGGCAUUAGUCCCACUCUAUGUCAACAUAAAAUAAAUUUGGAGGCGGGCGCCAAACCAGUUCGUGAUCCUCAACGACGUCUGAAUCCUAAAAUGAAAGAAGUGGUAAGAAAAGAAAUACUCAAGCUUCUGGAGGCAGGUAUAAUUUAUCCCGUUGCUGAUAGUCAGUGGGUAAGUCCUGUCCAUUGUGUCCCUAAGAAGGGAGGUAUUACUGUUGUUCCUAAUGAUAAAGAUGAAUUGAUUCCACAAAGAAUCAUCACAGGUUAUAGGAUGGCAAUUGAUUUCCGCAAAUUAAAUAAAGCUACUAAGAAAGAUCAUUACCCCUUACCUUUUAUUGAUCAAAUGCUAGAAAGAUUAUGCAAACAUACACACUAUUGCUUUCUAGAUGGUUAUUCUGGUUUCUCUCAAAUACCCGUGUCGUCUAGAGAUCAAUCAAAGACUACUUUUACAUGCCCUUUUGGUACUUUUGCUUAUAGACGUAGGCCUUUUGGUUUAUGUAAUGCACCUGCUACCUUUCAAAGAUGCAUGAUGGCUAUAUUCUCUAACUUUUGUGAAAAGAUUUGUGAGGUUUUCAUGGACGACUUUUCUGUCUAUGGUUCCUCUUUUGAUGAUUGCUUGAGCAAUCUUGAUCGAGUUUUGCAGAGAUGUGAAGAAACUAAUCUUGUCUUGAAUUGGGAAAAGUGCCACUUUAUGGUUAAUGAAGGUAUUGUCUUGGGGCACAAAGUUUCUGAAAGAGUUAUUGAAGUUGAUAAAGCCAAGGUUGAUGCUAUUGAAAAGAUGCCAUGUCCCAAGGACAUCAAAGGUAUAAGAAGUUUCCUUGGUCAUGCUGGAUUUUAUAGGAGGUUCAUUAAGGACUUCUCAAAAAUUUCUCGGCCUUUGACUAAUUUAUUGCAAAAAGAUAUACCAUUUGUCUUUGAUGAUGAUUGUGUAGAAGCAUUUGAAAUACUUAAGAAAGCAUUAGUCUUUGCACCUGUUGUUCAGCCACCCGAUUGGAAUUUACCCUUUGAAAUUAUGUGUGAUGCUAGUGAUUAUGCUGUAGGUGUUGUUAUAGGGCAAAGAGUUGAUAAGAAAUUAAAUGUUAUUCAUUAUGAUAGUAAGACUCUAGACAAUGCUCAAAAAAAUUAUGCUACUACUGAAAAAGAGCUUUUAGCAGUUGUAUUUGCUUGUGAUAAGUUCAGACCUUAUAUUGUUGAUUCUAAAGUAACUAUUCACAUUGAUCAUGCUGCUAUUAAAUACCUUAUGGAAAAGAAAGAUGCUAAACCUAGACUUAUUAGAUGGGUUCUCUUGCUACAAGAAUUUGAUUUGCAUAUUGUUGAUAGAAAGGAAGCUGAGAACCCUGUUGCAGACAACUUGUCUAGGUUAGAGAAUGUUCUUGAUGACCCACUACCCAUUAAUGAUAGCUUUCUUGAUGAACAAUUAAAUGUUAUAAGUACUUCUCGUAGUACUCCAUGGUAUGCUGAUUAUGCUAAUUAUAUUGUUGCUAAGUUUAUACCACCUAGCUUCACAUACCAGCAAAAGAAAAAGUUUUUCUAUGAUUUAAGACAUUACUUUUGAGAUGAUCCACAUCUUUAUAAAGAAGGAGUAGAUGGUGUUAUUAGACGUUGUGUACCUGAGCAUGAACAGGAACAGAUCCUAUGCAAGUGUCACUCCGAGGCUUAUGGAGGACACCACGCUGGAGAUAGAACUGCACAUAAGGUAUUGCAAUCUGGUUUUUAUUGGCCUACUCUCUUCAAGGAUGCUCGUAAGUUUGUCUUGUCUUGUGAUGAAUGUCAAAGAAUUGUCAAUAUUAGUAGACGUCAAGAAAUGCCUAUGAAUUAUUCACUUGUUAUUGAACCAUUUGAUGUUUGGGGCUUUGAUUAUAUGGGACCUUUUCCUGCCUCUAAUGGAUACACACAUAUUGUAGUUGUUGUUGAUUACGUUACUAAGUGGGUAGAAGCUAUUCCAACUAGUAGUGUUGAUCAUAACACUUCUAUUAAAAUGCUUAAGGAAGUUAUUUUUCCGAGGUUUGGAGUCCCUAGAUAUUUAAUGACUGAUGGUGGUUCACACUUUAUUCAUGGUGCUUUCCUUAAAAUGCUUGCUAAAUAUGAUGUUAAUCAUAGAAUUGCAUCUCCUUAUCACCCUCAGUCUAGUGGUCAAGUAGAGUUGAGCAAUAGAGAGCUCAAAUUAAUUUUGCAAAAGACUGUUAAUAGGUCUAGAAAGAAUUGGUCCAAGAAACUUGAUGAUGCAUUAUGGGCUUAUAGAACUGCAUAUAAAAAUCCUAUGGGUAUGUCUCCGUAUAAAAUGGUUUAUGGAAAAGCAUGUCACUUACCUCUCGAACUGGAACAUAAGCCAUAUUGGGCUAUUAAAGAGCUCAACUAUGAUUUUAAACUUGCCGGUGAGAAGAGGUUAUUUGAUAUUAGCUCACUUGAUGAAUGGAGAACCCAAGCUUAUGAAAAUGCCAAGUUGUUUAAAGAAAAAGUUAAAAGAUGGCAUGACAAAAGGAUACAAAAGUGUGAGUUUACUGUAGGUGAUUAUGUAUUGCUAUACAACUCUCGUUUAAGAUUUUUUUGCAGGAAAACUUCUCUCUAAAUGGGAAGGCCCCUAUGUUACCGAAGAGGUCUAUCGUUCUGGUGCCAUAAAAAUCAACAACUUCGAGGGCACAAAUCCGAAGGUGAUAAACGGUCAAAGAAUCAAACAUUAUAUCUCAGGUAAUCCCGUAAAUGUUGAAACCAAUAUUAUUGAAACCGUAACCCCGGAGGAAUACAUAAGGGACACCUUACAGACCGUUUCAGACUCCGAAAAGGAAUAGCUAUGUGAUAUGGUAACUAAACCGACUCCAAAACAAUUUUUAAGGCAAUAUUUCUCCGUUUUGGAAUAUUUAGAAAAAUAGAAAAAUAAGUAGCAGUCCGGGAAGGACACGAGGGUCCCACGAGGGUGGUGGGCGCACCCCCCUACCUCGUGAGCACCUCGUGUGCCUUCCGUACUCCAUUUUCUUGCACGUUACGUAUUUUGGUCGGUAAAAAUUCAUUAUAUAACCUCCCGAAGGUUUUGACUCCCGUAUCACGCAAACCUCCUUUGUUCUUGUUUCGAGCUGUUUUUCUGACAAAUCUAGGUUAUCAUGACGGCCCCAAGUGCCUCCAAGGACAAGUUCUUCGAGAAUGUCAUCAACCCUUACCUCGCGGAGGUGCUGCGACACCCUCAAACCAUUGAGUUGCGUGAUGGGUUGCUGCACAUCCGCGAUGAAGAGGGACCAAACGGGACCGGGAGCAUGGAGACGAGGCUCGAAGCAGUGGAGCAACAAGUUUUCAAGUGCCAAGGGAUGGUGGAACAUGGACUCAACUCUAACCACAUGAUGAUCGCGGAGUUCACUAGCAACCACAAGUUGGAUGCUGACAACAUCGGGGAGACUAUCUUCAAGCUUCAUGAGAAGAUCGAGCACCUCCAAGCCCAAAUCUAUGACCUGCAAAACCAAAACUGUGAGUAUGAAUAUAGAUUCAAAAGGAUGAGUUUGGCUGCAGAUUUGAGGAUCCCGGAGACUCGAUCAUGUUUCUAUGAUGGAGAACCUAUGCCUUGGAAGAUGAACGCAAGGCCCGCAUCAUCUACAACACCUCCACCUUCUUCACCGACAAAGGAGAUAUAAUCACAUGGGUAUGGGCACUCCCCUUGGCAACUGCCAAGCUUGGGGGAGGUGCCCCGGUAUUGUAUCACAAUCACAACUCCUGUCUUUACCAUUUUUUAGUUCGAUCCUAUUAGUAGUAUCUUGAUCUAGUAGAAUAAAGUUUAUGGCAUGAUCUAGUUUUGAGUUUGCUUUAUGAUCUCUCUUUGUAAUCGAGUCCAUGAGCUAUAUAUAAUAAAGAUUAGUGUUGAGUCAAGGGCUUGAUUAUUUUGCCAUGAUCUUGGGUGAAUAAAAGAAAGAAGAAAAGAAUAAAAGAAACAAAAAGUUCAUAUUGAUCUUAUUGAGAGUAAUGACUUCACAUAGAAAGAGUAUGAUGAUUAAAAGUUGUUGGGAGUUGGUAGACAUAGCUUUGGUCAUUGUUGCAAUUAAUAGGAAGUAAUAAGGAAAGACAGGUUUUCACAUAUAGAUAUAUUAUCAUUGACAUCUUUUAUGAUUGGGAGCACUCAUUAAAAUAUGACAUGCUAAAGGGUUGAUGUUGGACAAGGAAGACAACAUAAUGAGUUAUGUCUUUCUUAUAUCUGAGAUAAAGUAUGUUGUCAUGGAUCCUCUAACUUGUUGAGCUUGCCUUUCCCCCUCAUGCUAGCCAAAUUCUCAGCACCAAGUAGAAAUACUACUUGUGCUUCCAAAUACCCUUAAACCAGUUUUGCCAUCAGAGUCCACCAUAUCUACCUAUGGAUUGAGUAAGAUCCUUCAAGUAAGUUGUCAUCGGUGCAAAGCAAUAAAAAUUGCUCUAAAUUUGUAUGAUUGAUUGGUGUGGGAGAAAUAAGCUUUAUACGAUCUUGUGAUGUGGAAGUAAUAAAAGCGACGGACUGCAUAAUAAAGGUUCAUAUCACAAGGGGCAAUAUAAAGUGACGUUCUUUCGCAUUGAGAUUUUGUGCAUCCAACCAUAAAAGCGCAUGGCAACCUCUGCUGCCCUCUGCGAAGGGCCAAUCUUUUAUUAUUAUCUUCUACCUUAUGCAAGAGUCAUGGUGAUCUUCACCUUUUCUUUUUCAUUUUAUCCUUUGGCAAGCUCAGCAUGUUGGAAAGAACAUGAUAUAUAUAUAUAUAUAUAUAUAUAUAUAUAUAUAUAUAUAAUUGGAUGUAGGGGAGCACGAACCAUUAUUGUUGACAUUACCCUUGAGGUAAAAGGUUGUGGGGCAAAACUAUAAGCCCCUAUCUUUCUCUGUGUCCGAUUAAAACUCCGUAACCACAAGUAUUGCGUGAGUGUUAGCAAUUAUGGAGGACUAAAUGAUAGUUGAGUAUAUGGACUUGCUUUUCAGCUCUGACAUAGACUCUUUCCGAUGUUAUGAUAAAUUGAAAUUGCUUCAAUGACUGAGAUUAUAGUUUGUCGGAGCCAAUAAGGUUUAUGAUUUAUACUCUUGCAUUGUGAAUAGAUCAUCACUUGAACAUAAGUAAUCAUACGACAAAAUCUAUAUAUGUUGCUAUUAUGAGAUUAAUCAUGAUGCCUUCAUGUCCGUAUUUUAUUUUUAUCGACGCCUCUACCUCUAAACAUGAGGACAUAUUUAUUGUUAUCGGCUUUUCGCUUGAGGACAAGCGAGGUCUAAGCUUGGGGGAGUUGAUACGUCCAUUUUGCAUCAUGCUUUUAUAUCGAUAUUUAUUGCAUUAUGGGCUGUUAUUUCACUUUAUGUCACAAUACUUAUGGCUAUUCUCUCUUAUUUUACAAGGUUUACAUGAAGAGGGAGAAUGCCGGCAGCUGGAAUUCUGGGCUGGAAAAGGAGCAAAUAUUAGAGACCUAUUCUGCGCAACUCCAAAAGUCCUGAAACUCCACGGAACAUCUUAAAAUAAAUAAAGAAAAUUCCUCGCCAAAGAUGAAGGCCAGGGGGCCCACACCCUGCUCACGAGGGUGGGGCGCCCCCCCCCCCUCCUAGGGUGCGCCCCCUACCUCGUGGGCCCCCUGGUGGGUCUCUGAUGUCCAUCUUCUGCUAUAUGAAGUCUUUCGAUGAGAAAAAAAUCAGUGGGAACUUUUUGGGACGAGACUCCGCCGCCACGAGGCGGAACCUUGGCGGAACCAAUCUAGAGCUCCGGCAGAGCUGUUCUGCCGGGGAUACUUCCCUCCGGGAGGGGGAAAUCAUCACCAUCGUCAUCACCAACGCUCCUCUCAUCAGGAGAGGGCAAUCUCCAUCAACAUCUUCACCAGCACCAUCUCAUCUCCAAACCCUAGUUCAUCUCUUGUAUCCAAUUCUUGUCUCAAAGUCCGGGAUUGGUGCUAGUAGGUUGCCAGUAGUGUUGAUUACUCCUUGUAGUUGAUGCUCGUUGGUUUAUUUGGUGGAAGAUCAUAUGUUCAAAUCCUAUAUGCAUAUUAUUACCCCUCUGAUUAUGAACAUGAAUAUGCUUUGUGAGUAAUUACGUUUGUUCCUAAGGACAAGGGAGAAGUCUUGCUAUUAGUAGUCAUGUGAAUUUGGUAUUCGUUUGAUAUUUUGAUAAGAUGUAUGUUGUCUAGCCUCUAGUGGUGUUAUGUGAACGUCGACUACAUGACACUUCACCAUUAUUUGGGCCUAGAGGAAGGCAUUGGGAAGUAAUAAGUAGAUGAUGGGUUGCUAGAGUGACAGAAGCUUAAACCCUAGUUUAUGUGUUGCUUCGUAAGGGGAUGAUUUGGAUCCACAUGUUUCAUGCUAUGGUUAGGUUUACCUUAAUACUUUUGUUGUAGCUGUGGAUGCCUGCAAUAGAGGUUAAUCAUAAGUGGGAUGCUUGUUCAAGUAAGAACAGCACCCAAGCACAGGUCCACCCACAUAUCAAAUUAUCAAAGUAUCGAACGCGAAUCAUAUGAACGUGAUGAAAACUAGCUUGACGAUAUUCCCAUGUGUCCUCGGGAGAGCUUUUCCUAUUAUAAAAGUUUGUUUCGGCUUGUCCUUUGCUACAAAAAGGAUUGGGCCACCUUGCUGCACUUUAUUUACUUUUGUUACUUGUUGCUCGUUACAAUUUACCUUAUCACAAAACUAUCUGUUACCACUUAUUUCAGUACUUCCAGAGAAUACCUUGCUGAAAACCGCUUAUCAUUUCCUUCUGCUCCUCGUUGGGUUCGACACUCUUACUUAUCGAAAGGACUACGAUAGAUCCCCUAUACUUGUGGGUCAUCACACCACUAGAGGAAAGACAACAUGCAUCUCAUUAAAAUAUCAAACGAAUACCAGAUUCACAUGACUACUUAUAGCAAGACUUCUCCCAUGUCCUCAGGAACAAAUGUAACUACUCACAAAUCAUAUUCAUGUUCAUAAUCAGAGGGGUAUUAAUAUGCAUAAAGGAUCUGAACAUAUGAUCUUCCACCGAAUAAACCAACUAGCAUCAACUACAAGGAGUAAUCAACACUACUAGCAACCCACAGGUACCAAUCUGAGGUUUUGAGACAAAGAUUGGAUACAAGAGAUGAACUAGGGUUUGAGAUGAGAUGGUGUUGGUGAAGAUGUUGAUGGAUAUUGACCCCCUCCCGAUGAGAGGAUCGUUGGUGAUGACGAUGGUGAUGAUUUCCACUACCGGAGGGAAGUUACCCCGGCAGAACAGCCCCACCGGAGCCCUAGAUUGGUUCCACCAAGGUUCCGCCUCGUGGCAGCGGAGUUUCGUCCCGUGAGCUAGCUUAUGAUUUUUUCCUUGACGAAAGACUCCAUAUAGCCAAAGAUGGGCAUCAGAGAGCUGCCAGGGGCCCACAAGGCAGGGGGCGUGCCCAGGGGGUAGGGCGCGCCCCCACCCUCGUGGACGGUCGGUGGCCCCCCUCUGGUACUUCUUUCGCCCAAUAUUUUUUAUAUAUUCUGAACUUUUGGAGUUGUGCAGAAUAGGUCUCUAAUAUUUGCUCCUUUUCCAGCCCAGAAUUUCAGCUGUCGGCAUUCUCCCUCUUCAUGUAAACCUUAUAAAAUAAGAAAGAAUAGGCAUAAGUAUUGUGACAUAAUGUGUAAUAACAUCCCAUAAUGCAAUAAAUAUCAAUAUAAAAGCAUGAUGCAAAAUGGAUGUAUCAACUCCCCCAAGCUUAGACCUCGCUUGUCCUCAAGCGAAAGCCGAUAUCGAAAAAUAUGUCCACAUGUUUAGAGAUAGAGGUGUCGAUAAAAUAAAAUAUGGACAUGAGGGCAUCNNNNNNNNNNNNNNNNNNNNNNNNNNNNNNNNNNNNNNNNNNNNNNNNNNNNNNNNNNNNNNNNNNNNNNNNNNNNNNNNNNNNNNNNNNNNNNNNNNNNNNNNNNNNNNNNNNNNNNNNNNNNNNNNNNNNNNNNNNNNNNNNNNNNNNNNNNNNNNNNNNNNNNNNNNNNNNNNNNNNNNNNNNNNNNNNNNNNNNNNNNNNNNNNNNNNNNNNNNNNNNNNNNNNNNNNNNNNNNNNNNNNNNNNNNNNNNNNNNNNNNNNNNNNNNNNNNNNNNNNNNNNNNNNNNNNNNNNNNNNNNNNNNNNNNNNNNNNNNNNNNNNNNNNNNNNNNNNNNNNNNNNNNNNNNNNNNNNNNNNNNNNNNNNNNNNNNNNNNNNNNNNNNNNNNNNNNNNNNNNNNNNNNNNNNNNNNNNNNNNNNNNNNNNNNNNNNNNNNNNNNNNNNNNNNNNNNNNNNNNNNNNNNNNNNNNNNNNNNNNNNNNNNNNNNNNNNNNNNNNNNNNNNNNNNNNNNNNNNNNNNNNNNNNNNNNNNNNNNNNNNNNNNNNNNNNNNNNNNNNNNNNNNNNNNAAUCAUAAACUUCAUUGAAAACUAACAACCUAUAAUCUCAGUCAUUGAAGCAAUUGCAAUUUAUCAUAACAUCAGAAAGAGUCAAUAUAAGAGCUUUUCAGCAAGUCCACAUACUCAACUAUCAUUUAGUAUUUCACAAUUGCUAACACUCACACAAUAUUUAUGGGUAUGAAGUUUUAAUCGGACAUAGAGAAAGAUAGGAGCUUAUAGUAUUGCCUCCCAACCUUCUACCUCAAGGGUAAUGUCAACAAUAAUAGUUCAUGAAAACUCGCAUCCAAUUAGCUAUAUAUAUAUAUAUAUAUAUAUAUGGAUCUUUGCAACACGUUGUGCUUGCCAAAGGAUAAAAUGUAAAAAGGAAAGGUGAAGAUCACCGUGACUCUUUGCAUGAAGUAUAAGCCAAGAAUAAAAGAUAGGCCCGUCGCAGAGGGAAGCAGAGGUUGUCAUGUGCUUUUAUGGUUGGAUGCAUGAAGUCUUAAUGCAAAAGAACGUCACUUUAUAUUGCCACUUGUGAUAUGGACCUUUAUUAUGCAGUCUGUCGCUUUUAUUCCUUCCACGUCACAAGAUCGUAUAAAGCUUAUUUUAUCCACACUAAUAAAUCAUACAUAUUUAGAGAGCAAUUUUUAUUGCUUGCAGCGAUGACAACUUACUUGAGGGAUCUUACUCAAUCCAUAGGUAGAUAUGGUGGACUCUCAUGGCAAAACUGGUUUUAAAGGUAUUUGGAAGCACAAGUUGUAUCUCUGCUUGGUGCAAAGAAUUUGGCUAGCAUGAGAGGGAAAGGCAAGCUCAACAUGUUGGAUGAUCCAUGAAAAUAUAAUUUAUUUCAGAUGUAAGAAAACAUAACCCAUUACGUUGUCUUCCUUGUCCAACAUCAACUCUUUAGCAUGUCAUAUUUUAAUGAAUGCUCACAAUCAUAAAAGAUGUCCAAGAUAGUAUAUUUAUAUGUGAAAACCUUUCUUUCUUUAUUACUUCCUAUUAAUUGCAACGAUGACCAAAACUAUGUUUGUCAACUCUCAACCACUUUUAUUCAUCAUACUUUUUAUAUGUGAAGUCAUUACUCUCCAUAAGAUCCAUAUGAUCUCUUUAAUUAUUUCUAUUCUUUCUCUUUUAUUUUAUUUUUCUCAAGAUCAUAGCAAGAUAAUCAAGCCCUUGACUCAACACUAAUCUUUAUUAUAUAUAUAGCUCACGGACUCGAUUACAUAGAAGGAUCAUAAAGCAAAACUCAAAACUAGAUCAUACUAAAACUUUAUUCUACUAGAUCAAGAUAUUACCAAAAGGAUCGAACUAAGAAAAAUGGUGAUAUGAUACCGGGGCACUCCCCCAAGCUUAGCAGUUUCCAAGGGGAGUGCCCAUACCCGUGUGUUCAUGCCUCCUUCUUCUGGGGUGGUGAUGUGAUAUUCUUGGCGAUGAUGCCCCUCGGGAUACGAUUCUCUUCCUCGAGCUUAUUGACUUGCUGCUUGAGGUCCAUUAUUUCCUUACGGAGCUUGCCCGUAACGGCUAAAGCUCCUUUCACCCAAGGAUGUUGCAUGGCUGCGGGAGAAGUAACACUCUUUUUCAUAUUUUCAUAAGAAAGAAACCUAACAUUGGAAGGUAUGACCGAGUUUGGAAUAGCUGAGCUCUGCAGUUCCCCCAUUGUGAAUCCGGCUCGGAAACGAGAUGUAACUUCUUGAUCCUCCUCCAUUGCAUCUAUCCUUUUCAAGUCGGCCCCCAUCUUUUCCUCAGUUGAUGGCCCAAAGUGGUCAGUACUGCUGUUUGCUCUUGGCCUAGUUGUCGGAUGAGACACCCGACUCUCCCCGACUGACUCUUGAGAAGACAUCUAGCUCUAAAUCCGCGGGAGAAAUAGCUCGAAACAAAAAAAAGAGGAUAUUUGCGUGAUACGGUGGUCAAAACCUUUGGGAGAUUAUAUAAUGAAUUUUUAUCGACCAAAAGAAGUAUCGUGCAAGAAAACGGAGUCCGGAGAGCACACGAGGUGCCCACGAGGCAGGGGGCGCGCCCUCCACCCUCGUGGACGCCUCGUGUCCUUCUCGGACUGCUUCUCAUUUUCCUAUUUUCUUAAAUAUUCCAAAACAGAGAAAAAUUGCUAUUAGAACUGUUUUGGAGUCGGUUUACUUACUGUACCUCAUACCUAUUCCUUUUCGGAGUCUAAAACGUUCUGGAAAGUGUUCUUUAUGUAUUCCUCCGGGGUUACGAUUUCAAUAACAUUAGUUUUAAAAUUUAUGGGAUUACCUAAGAUAUAAUGUUUGAUUCUUUGACCAUUCACCACCCUCGGAUUAGUGCCUUCGAAGUUGUUGAUUUUUAUGGCACCAGAAUGAUAGACCUCCUCGAUAAUGUAAGGACCUUCCCAUUUUGAGAGGAGUUUGUCUGCAAAAAAUCUUAAACAAGAUUUGUAUACUUAAUCACCUACAUUAAACUCGCGUUUUUGUAUCCUUUUGUCGUGCCAUCUUUUAACUUUUUCUUUAAACAGUUUGGCAAUUUCAUAGGCCUGGGUUCUCCAUUCAUCAAGUGAGCUAAUGUCAAAUAACCUCUUCUCACCGGCAAGUUUGAAAUCAUAAUUGAGCUCUUUAAUGGCCCAAUAUGCCUUAUGUUCUAGUUCGAGAGGUAAGUGACAUGCUUUACCAUAAACCAUUUUAUACGGAGACAUACCCAUAGGAUUUUUAUAUGUAGUUCUAUAAGACCAUAAUGCAUCAUCAAGUUUCUUGGACCAAUUCUUUCUAGAUCUAUUAACAGUCUUUUGCAAAAUUAAUUUAAGCUCUCUAUUACUCAAUUAUACUUGGCCACUAGAUUGUGGGUGGUAUUGAGAUGCAAUUAUGUGGUUAACAUCAUACUUAGCAAGCAUUUUACGAAAGGCAUCAUGAAUAAAAUGUGAACCACCAUCAGUAAUUAAAUAUCUAGGGACUCCAAACCUCGGAAAAAUAACUUCUUUAAGCAUCUUAAUAGAGGUGUUAUGAUCAGCGCUACUAGUUGGAAUAGCUUCUACCCACUUAGUAACAUAAUCAACAACAACUAAAAUAUGUGUAUACCCAUUAGAGGAAGGAAACGGUCCCAUAUAAUCAAAACCCCAAACAUCAAAUGGUUCAAUAACAAGUGAAUAAUUCAUAGGCAUUUCUUGACGUCUACUAAUAUUACCAAUUCUUUGACAUUCAUCACAAGACAAUACAAACUUACGGGCAUCCUUGAAGAGAGUAGGCCAAUAAAAACCGGAUUGCAAUACCUUAUGUGCAGUUCUAUCUCCAGCAUGGUGUCCUCCAUAAGACUCGGAGUGACACUUGCGUAGGAUCUGUUCCUGUUCAUGCUCAGGUACACAACGUCUAAUAACACCAUCUACUACUUCUUUAUAAAGAUGUGGGUCAUCCCAGAAGUAAUGCAUUAAAUCAAGAACUUUUUCUUUUGCUGGUAUGUGAAACUAGGUGGUAUAAACUUAGCAACAAUAUAAUUAGCAUAAUCAGCAUACCAUGGAGCAGUAUGAGAAGCAUUUAUGACAGCUAAUUGUUCAUCAGGAAAGCUAUCAUCAAUAGGUAGUGGGUCAUCAAGAACAUUCUCUAGCCUAGACAAGUUGUCUGCAACAGGGUUCUCAGCUCCCUUUCUAUCAAUAAUAUGCAAAUCAAAUUCUUGUAGCAAGAGAACCCAUCUAAUAAGUCUAGGUUUAGCAUCUUUCUUUUCCAUAAGAUAUUUAAUAGCAGCAUGAUCAGUGUGAACAGUUACUUUAGAAUCAACAAUAUAGGGUCUGAACUUAUCACAAGCAAAUACAACUACUAAAAACUCCUUUUUAGUAGUAGCAUAAUUUCUCUGAGCACUGUCUAGAGUUUUACUAGCAUAUUGGAUAACAUUUAAUUUAUUAUCAACUCUUUGUCCUAGAACAACCCCUACAGCAUAAUCACUAGCAUUACACAUAUUUUCAAAUGGUAAAUUCCAAUCAGGUGGCUGAACAAUAGGUGCAGAAAUCAAAGCUUUCUUAAGUAGUAUUUCAAAUGCUUCUACACAAUCAUCAUCAAAGACAAAAGUAACAUCUUUUUGUAAGAGAUUAGUCAGAGGCCAAGAAGUUUUAGAGAAGUCCUUAAUGAACCUCCUAUAAAAACCGGCAUGACCAAGGAAACUUCUUAUACCUUUGAUGUCCUUAGGACACGGCAUCUUUUAAAUAGCAUCUACCUUAGCUUUAUCGACUUCAAUACCUCUUUCGGAAAUUUUAUGCCCCAAGACAAUACCUUCAUUAACCAUAAAGUGGCACUUCUCCCAAUUCAAGACAAGAUUAGUUUCUUCACAUCUCUGCAAAACUCGAUCAAGGUUGCUUAAGCAAUCAUCAAAAGAAGUUCCAUAUACGGAGAAAUCAUCCAUGAAAACCUCAACAAUGUUUUCACAAAAGUCAGACAAUAUAGCAGUCAUACAUCUUUGAAAGGUAGCAGGUGCAUUGCAUAAACCAAAAGGCAUACGUCUAUAAGCAAAGGUACCGAAAGGGCAAGUAAAAGUUGUCUUUUCUUGAUCCUAUUUUGACACAGGUAUUUGAGAGAAACUGGAAUAACCAUCUAGAAAUCAAAAAUGUGUAUGUUUCGAUAAUCUUUCUAGCAUUUGAUCAAUAAAAGGUAUAGGGUAAUGAUCCUUUCUCGUAGCUUUAUUUAAUUUGCGGAAAUCAAUUACCAUUAUAUGACCUGUAACAAUUCUUUGUGGAAUCAAUUCAUCUUUAUCAUUAGGAACAACAGUAAUUCCUCCCUUCUUAGGGACACAAUGGACAGGACUUACCCACUGACUAUCAGCAACGGGAUAAAUUAUACAUGCCUCUAGAAGCUUUAGUAUUUCUUUUCUUACCACUUCCUUCAUCUUAGGAUUUAACCGUCGUUGGUGAUCAACAACCGGUUUCGCGUCUUUCUCCAAUUUUAUUUUGUGCUGGCAUAGAGUGGGACUAAUGCCCUUAAGAUCAUCAAGAGUAUACCCAAUAUCGGCACGGUGCUUCUUCAGAGUUUUCAAUAAUUUCUUUUCUUCAUGCUCUGAAAGGUUAGCACUAAUAAUAACAGGAUAUAUCUCUUUCUCAUCAAGAUAAGCAUAUUUAAGAGUAUCAGGUAAAGGUUUAAGCUCAAACACGGGAUCGCCCUUGGGUGGAGGAGGAUCCCCUAGGAUUUCAACAAGCAAGUUGUGUUUCAAAAUAGGUCCCUGUUUAAAGAAUACUUCAUCUAUUUCCCUUCUUUCAUCCAUAAACAUAUCAUUUUCAUGGUCUAGCAAAUAUUGUUCUAAAGGAUCAUUAGGAGGCACGGCAAUAGAAGCAAGACCAAUAAUUUCAUCUUUACUAGGCAAUUCUUUAUCAUGGGGUUGUCUAUGAAAUUUAGCAAAGUUAAAUUCAUGAGACAUAUCCCCUAAAUCAACAGAAACAAUAUACUCAUUGCAAUCUAUCUUAGCAUUAACAGUAUUCAAGAAGGGUCUACCAAAUAUAAUGGGACAAAAGUUAUCUUGUGGGGAACCAAGAACAAGAAAAUCAGCAGAAUAUUUAACUUUCCCACAUAAGACUUCAACAUCUCUAACAAUCCCAACUGGUGAAAUAGUGUCUCUAUUAGCAAGGUUAAUUGUAACAUCAAUUUCCUCUAUCUCAGCAGGUGCAACAUCAUGCAUAAUUUCUUUGUAUAAGGAAUGGGGUAUUGCACUAGAACCCAUAUUACAUAAGCCAUGAUAUCAAUGAUCUCCUAUUUUAACUGAAAUAAUAGGCAUGCCUACAAUAGGUCUAUGUUUAUGUUUAGUAUCAUGUCUAGCAAUUCUAGCAGCUUCAUCACAGAAGUAAAUAACAUGCCCAUCAAUAUUAUCAGCCAAGAGAUCUUUAACCAUAGCAACACUUGGUUCAACUUUAAUUUGCUCAAAGGGUGUAGGUGUUCUAGUAUUACUCUUACAAACCACAGUUGAAGCUUUAGCGUGAUCCUUUAUUCUAACAGGGAAAGUUGGUUUCUCAAUAUAAGCAGUAGGAACAACUGGAUCAUUAUAAGUGAUAGUCUUUUCUUCAACUUUAAUAGGUGCAACUACUUUUACUUCAAUGGGAGGAUUAUAUUUAAACCACUUCUCCUUAGGGAGAUCAACAUGAGUAGAAAAGGAUUCGCAGAAAGAAGCUACUAUCUCAGAGUCAAGUCCAUAUUUAGUGCUAAAUUCACGGAAAGCAUCGGUAUCCAUAAAAGAUUUAACACAAUCAAACUUAGGGGUUAUACCUGACUCCUUACCUUCUCGAGAUCCCAGUAUUCAGAGUUGCGUUUAACUAUUUCCAAUAAAUCCCAUUUGAAUUCAAUAGUCUUCAUCACAAAAGAUCCAGUACAAGAAGUAUCGAGCAUGGAGCGAUUAUCGAGAGAAAGUCGAGCAUAAAAUUUUUGAAUAAUAAUUUCUCUUGAGAGCUCAUGAUUGGGGCAUGAAUAUAACAUUGACUUAAGCCUCCCCCAAGCUUGAGCAAUGCUUUCUCCUUCGCGAGGCCAAAAAUUAUAUAUAUGGUGGUGGUGGUGGUGCAGGAUUUGCUCAUCAGCCUGAAGAUGCUGGCCGUGAAGCGGGCGGAGACGGCUGGCCGCUCCCACCUCGCCGACACCUUCGAUCUGCGCACCCUGCGGGCCCUCGGUACCACCUCAACUGCCUGCUUCUAUUGCUCCACCUCAACAAUCAGAGAAAAAUCUGUGCUAAUGACGUGCUCAAAGUUAGUUAGUUUGUUGCCACGCUUCUGUUAUUCACAGUGCUCUGAAUUUGUGUGCCAAAGGGGCAGAUUUUAAGCACUGAUACGAAUUCAUUGCAUAGGACAUUUUUCCUGAUUCAGAGUUGCAGUAUAUAAUGGUCUUCAGACAAAUGCAGCUUAACCAAAUAUUUAUGCACCCAUGUGUCCUGCCUCAUGACCAAAUUGAUAGCUACUCGGUCUUUAGGCUGACUUGGCACAAAAAUACGAUUUUACUAGUAGUUCUUACUUCAUCUGUGAGUGUAUGACGAAAGAUGUAGCCGCUCUCACCCUUCCUGAAUACUAGUAGCUGUUUGCUCAAUGCCUUCCUUCACAUGCAUGUAUGGUGCAUCAAUCACUUUGCUGAAAAAGAACAUGCUUGUGCUUGUGCUCUGCUUUCCCAGGUGUUGUUUUGCUGGAAGAUUUCAAACAACGGCUAAGAGAAGAAACCUCACUCAAUGCAACCGGUCUUGAUAAACUUGCGCUAUCGAGGGAUCCUGAUGCGGAUUGUAGCAUCAGUGGUACUAGUAGUGAUUCCGAGGUGUUCAGGCGGCGCAGCAAAGAUCAGCCAAUAAAGCCAAGCGGUGUCAAGAGGAAACGAAAGCAGACGCAUGAUGGGUAAGUCAUUUGAGUAUCCCAUCAGUUUGGCUGAAGAAGUUUAGUUAAAUUUAGCUCAUACUGAUUGAUUAUGCACAGUUACAUCUUGUGCUCAAACUCGCUCUAUGUUUUCGGAACUUUGCUUCUCUUUUCGAGGUUCCUUACGAUGCAGUUAUGGUGUGUUUGUGUAACAAGAGGCGAAGAGCUCGACUAGCAGAUAUAUAGAUGCCCCUUAAGUCGUUCAAAGUUUUAUUUUUUGUUGAAUGGAUGUGACCAGGCUCACUGAUGAAAGGUAUUACAAUUGUCAUCCUGCAUCAUGUGGAAGCCACCUUAAUUGUUGGCUGUUCUGGGUGUCCGUUGCUCACUUCAACUUUUGCAUCUAUUCCUGGGAGCUUGUAGCUUGCCAGAUAAACAGGUGAUUAUACCCACCAUGCUCUGGCUUUGGGACGAAUUUGUCCAAAGUAUAACAGUUUUGUCUGACAAUUCUAUGGUUGUAAAGGUACCAAGAAUAUACAGAGCUAAUUGUUGCAAUGAUGUGUUUUCCACCGGCCUUUAUCUAGUGAAAGACAUUCAUUCCUGGAACUCAUAGGUGCAACAUUUUGUGGCUUUGAGGAGAACUUGCCUCGGGAAUUAGGAUGUCCCAAAGCACAACAGUUGUGUCUGACAAUGUGUAUGUACAGAUACCAAGUGCAGUUUACUGAAUAUGAAUUUAAUUGGUGUGCCUUCAGUUCGAGACUGCAACUCAUGGCAUGAUGAAUUUUCUAUCAGGUAGGGCAAAUCAAGCCCAUCAAUUAGGCAGAAAGACGGUUUAAAUAAAAGGCAAUUUUUUUUUGCGGGGUAAAAGGCAAUUAAGUAAGCGCUUAGGCAGAAGGACUGGCUGCUGGAUUAAUGAAUCACGACUUCUGUUUCUAUAUCAUCAUCAAACCAAACCAUGAUAGCAAACACAAGGACUGCACUUCCAAUCUUGUGCUCCCCCACACGUCAAACGCACAAGUUAAAAAGGGAUCGCACUUCCUUAUCAUCAAGACCAAACCACGAUACCGAAACAAAGGAUCGCUCCUCCCAUUCUUGCUAAACAACAGUGUCAAAGGUUCAGUUGCUAGUCCACUCCCUCACAUCACAGGCCACAACUAAUUCAUAUGGCUUCCUUUCUUACCCACCAUUUUGGGCAAAUCAGAAGAAGUGUCUAAAAAAUGAAAUCCAUGCAGUUACUGACGGCGACGACGGAUAUGUGCGCACGUCACAGCGAAGAAGCUGUCGUUGGAGUCAUCAUGCCCAGCGCCUUGAGGAUGAAUGCGUAGGUGAAGGCGUCUUCUCGCAACUUCUCAAACCUGCAAGUUAAAACAACAACAGUUAGGCCGAAAAGCACAAUUUUAUUUGUUCCUUUUUGGCACUAAUAACAGAUGCCACGUCAAAAAAGAAGAAAUCAAACGCAAAGGAGUAAUGUCUCGUUUGCUAUUUAUUUACCUCCCCGACUUGGAGAAGUGCCCGGCGCCGAGCUCGCACUUGAACAGCAGGAGGUUGUCGUCUGUCUUGAGCUCCCUCAGCUUCGCCACGAACUUGGCAGGCUCCGAGUACAUCACACGAGGAUCUGUUUGCCACGGAGUAGUUAGCUGUGAGUAUAAUCUGGUGUUAACGGCUAACGGUAGCCAAAAGAAACUCAAAAUCCAAGGGCAAUACCAUUUAAGCCAGCAGUAACGAGAAUGUGGGGAUAGUCUUGUGCUUUUACCUGCAGCAGAGGGACAGACAUCUCAGGUAAAUACAUUUCGGCAGCCAGCCUCGAUACCAUGCAGGGCAAGAAAACACAUAUAUCACAAAAUAAAGAUCAGCACUUACGUUAUCAACAGGAGAAUAAGAUUUCAUGUAAUAGUAGUAUUCUUCUUUCCUUGGAUCACCCCACUCCUGAAUCAAUAAGAUGUGUUGGUGAGAGCAGAAACAAAACUGCAGGUGCGCAAUGCAAUGAAAGUUGAUACCUAGAAUAAAUACAUAACAAGACUAAAGCACGUGCAUGGCCAAUGGGCAUGCACCGAUUACACACAGGGCAAAUUAUUUGCUUCCUAUUUAUUUUUUAUUUUUUAUCACAAGGAUAUAUAUGUCUCAGACAUGCCCAUCAAGCAAUAUUGGCCUAAGCCUGGUUUGGAUCAAAGGCCAAGCUAACCUAUGUCUAACUGAAGCAAGUGCACAAAGUGACAAUAUGACAGUGAAUCAUGCAAACAAAAUUAAUGGCAACGUAGGGGAUCAAUACCUCCCAUUCAGCUGUAGUCAACGGGAUAGUUGGGUCAAGCAUAGUUGUGAGAACAUCGACAAAAGGCACCCCAGCAACAGCUGCCUUGAAUAAGUCGGGCCUCAUAUUUAGGACAUCACCCAUCAACAGGCCACCUGCACUUCUUCCGUUGAUGCAAAGCUUUUCUUUCGUACAGUACUUGUUUUCUAUCAAGUGCUCAGCACAGGCAAUGAAAUCAGUGAAAGUGUU
rnacentral:lncRNA from 1 species